GCCAUAUUCUUUAACGAGUCCAGCACUGGAAAGAAAAACUUGGAUCGUGCAGACUUCAAAAAAAUGUAUAAUCUGAGACUGCUCAAUGUUGAUAAUUCUAUGUGGCAAAAUGCUGACAGUUCUAGAGAGUACUGCAAAUUGAACCUGUCUCUCUCUCUUCCCAAUUCUCUUCGUUAUCUUUCCUGGAAGGGAUAUCCUUUGAAAUCUUUGUCCCCAAAAUUUUCUCCUGAAAAUCUUGUUGAGCUUCAUAUGCCGGGCAGCCAAGUCACACAACUUUGGAAUGAAGGCCAGGUAUAUGUGUUUAUUAUAGAUUUUGUGAAAGAUACUAGUAGUGUAGAACUUAUUUAGACUAAGUUGUUAAUUCUUACCGUUUCUCUUUAAUUUGUUACAGAAACUUAUGAACUUAAAAGUGAUCAAACUUCGUUAUUCCAAAUGUCUAACUGCACUUCCAAACCUCUUGGAGAGUCCAAAUAUUGAGCACAUAGAUCUUUGCGGAUGUGAAAGUUUGGUUGAAAUCCCUUCGUAUUUUAAAGAUCUUGACAAGCUUACUUAUCUUGAUCUUUCGUGGUGCAAGAGUCUCGAGUAUCUUCCAGACAUGCCAGGCAACAUUGAAUUCUUAAGUUUAAGCGGCAGUGGCAUAAAGGGACUUGAUCUCACUGGUUGCACUAGAUUUUACAAAUUCCCUGAAAUAUUGGAGCCAAUGGAACACCUGAAGUUUCUUCGUUUAGAAGGGACAGCAGUUGAAGAGCUUCCCCAGUCUGUUGGAAAUCUAGUUGGCCUUCAAACAUUAGAUCUUGGUCGGUGCGAGAAACUCAAAGUUGUCCCAAGUAGCAUCUACAACUUAAGAAAUCUUAAAACUCUCAGCUUUAAUGGCUGUUGGAAACUUCAAAAUUUUCCUCAACCGACUGGCUCAGUUGGUUUGCUUUCUCUUGAAGUACUAGACCUCGGUGAAAGCGGAAUUUUACAAAUCCCUGAGGAUCUCAUUUGCUUAACAUCAUUAUUGGGUAUUAAUCUGAAUGGAACCAAAAUUCGGAGCGUACCCUCAACCAUCAAACAAGCUUCUCAGCUGUCUUGCCUCUUCUUAAUCGAGUGCACGAGCCUUGAAUCUUUACCAGAGCUCCCAGUGCUAAGUCGUCUUCAAGCAGAUGGGUGCAAGUCACUGAUGACAGUGUCAAGUUCAAUGACUGCAAUUACGCAAUGUUGGAAUAGAUAUCAAUUGCUUGAAGAGCAACUUCUCUUUUAUAAUUGCGGAAGGUUGGGUAAUGAUGCUGAUGCAAGAAGCAGCAUAAUGGUUGAGGCACAGCUUAGAAUCAUGCGAGUGGCAACUGCGUCUUCAAAGUUAAAAGAAAAGGAAGAUUACGUAUGUCUCUCUCUCUCUCUCUUUCUCUCUCUCUCUCUCUCUCUCUCUCUGUGUUAAGUAACAUGAUGUCAAUUGAUGUUGCAGCAAAAGUUUUCUGAGCCCUUAGUUACAAUUGUAUGUCCGGGAUAUGAAAUUCCAAAUUGGUUCGUACAUCAAAAUAAGGGGGCUUCGAUAAAUGUCAAGCUUCCAGCAAACUGGUUUCGAAAAGGUUUCUUGGGAUUCGCUCUAUCUGUUGUGGCAUCCGGACACCAAGAUAAAUCGGGAAAAGUCGCAUCCGGACGUCAAGAUCAACCAGGUAUGCAGUUUGAGUGCAAGUACAAUUUCAAAACUGAAGAGGGUCAAAGUCAUGGAAUCGAUUGUCCUGUCUUUGUCCCGUGCAAGGGUGGAAAUGGUGAUGGUUGCAAUUUAGAUUCAAAGCACGUGUUCGUAUUGUAUAAAGACCUUGAAUAUGAAGAGGGAGUAAAAUGGUCAUCGGAUUUUUACUGCCGUUUCACUGAGGUCUCUGUUCACUUCGAAACGAAACCUUUCCAGUACAACUAUACGGUGGAAAAUUGUGGAAUAUGCCUGUUAUAUGCCGAAGAUGCUGAGAAAUUAAAAUUUGAUGUCAUUUCGCGACAAUAACAAGUUAAGUCUGCAGCAAGUGGGAGUGUUGAUCCUGAAGCCAGUGGAAACAACUAAUCUGAGGAAGCAAGUGGAAGAGAUGGCUCUUGAUGAAGAAAGUGGAAGGGAUGAAUCUGAGUAAGCAAGUGGAAGCGAUGAGUCAGAGGACGAAAGUGGAAGCUCUGAAGCAAUGGAAGCUGCUAGGGAGUUGCCCUCUUAAUCGUCUGAGUUCUUUGUAACCACUUUUUGUUCUGCAAUUUAUUUGUACUUUAUUUUGUUACAAGUUCUUUUUAACCACUUUCCGUUAUGUAAUUCAUUUGUCGUUUAUGUUAUAAAUAAUCUACGAUGGUUAUGAGGACAGUUCAUGUAUAAAUAUUGUACUCUAUGUACAUUUGAGUGUUAAGGAAAAUCACUUUUCUACAUGGUAUCAUCUUUUCUUGCCUAAGUUUCGAUCUUGGAAUCCCUAGUGCUUUCCCUCAUGGCUGCUUCAAUAGAAUUUUGCGGCUUAAUUUUCAUGUAUUGCAUAAUUGGGAAUAUAAUACAUACAAUCCUUGUUCUCCAAGAUAAACCAAAAAAGGACAUAAGAAAAAUCCUUCCUAAUAAAGGUCGUACCCAGUGCACAAGGCUCCCGCUUUACGCAGGGUCUGGGAGAGGUGAAUGUCGGCUAGCCUUACCCCCAUUUAUGGAGAGGCUGCUCCCAAGUCUCGAACCCGAGACCUACCGCUCAUGGGCGAAGGCACUUGCCAUCGCACCAAGUGCGACCUAAUAUUUACACAAUAUUUACAUUCCUAUUCUAAAACCAACUCACGCAACAGCUUCUUCCUCUUAUUCUCUUCCUCCUACUCCAAACAUUGCCACCCUUGUUUCUGUCAAACUAACAGAUACCAACUACCUUCUAUGGGAAGGUCACUUCAAACCUUUACUUCGUGUGACUUUUACGGAACCUGUUCUCUCUCAGAUUGAUGGUCUUGCCACAUCCCAAGCUAUUUGGGUAUGUCUGGAGCAAAACUUUUCUCCAAUGUUCUCCGGAUUCGUCUAUUCUUGUUGCUUAAUGGGAUGCCGAUCGGGCAAGGUGUCUCGACACUUGUCAAUCCACUAUUGGCUACUGUGUUUUCUUGGGUCCUAACCUCAUUUCCUGGAGUGCUAAGAAACAACGUACUAUCUCCCGCUCUAGUGCUGAGGCCGAAUAUCGUGCUCUUGCAUAUACUUCUUUCAUAUCGGUUUCAUUGGCUCAUUUCCAAACUUGUCUACUCACAGGCAUCAAGUUUGUCGGGGAAGUGUUAGGGAGUUACCCUCUUAAUCAUCUAUUGAAUGAGUUUUUUGAAACCAAUUUCCGUUAUGCAAUUUAUUUGUACUUUAUUUUGUUAUAAGUUCUUUGUAACCACUUUCCGUUGUGUAAUUCAUUUGUCAUUUAUGUUGCAAGUAGUCAAGGAUGGUUAUGACGACAAUUCAUGUAUAAAUAUUGUACUUGGGUACAUUCAAUUGUUAAGGAAAAUCACUUUUCCUACAGAAGCGAUAAGUCGUUUGAGGAAGCAAGCGGAAGCGACGAGUCAGAGCAAGCAAGUGGAAGUGAUGAGUCUGUUGCUGGUUCAGGCCUCUCCUUGUUUUUAACUUCAAUCUAAAAAAUAAUUAAAGAUAAAAAAUCGAGUUCACCCAGUAUUCAACCACAAUUCCACAAUACAAGGUACAAUAUAUGGUACAUAGUUGAAAUUGACAAUUGAACUUCUAUGUAAGUACUAGCAAUUGAGCCUGCACAAUGUCACAAGUUUUAAAACUCUUUUAAAUGUGUGAAAUAUAUUAAAAUUUGUCUACAUCUAUCUCAAAAUCUAUUUACAUCGUAAUGUUCAUAAGAAACAAAAUAUAGGUAUAGGAUAUACAAGAAUUCAUGUCAGCGCGCUGCGGUGGGUUUGAAAAUUUCUCAUGUAAUUAACAAAUACAAAUAAAAAGAGGCAAGCAAAAGAGUCCAUGAAUUUCCAUAUUGCGUACCAAGUUGGCAAGAGUGGAGGAAUAUCUUUCUUAAGUCCAUGAAUUUCCAUAUUACGUAUCAAGAAAGAGAUUCCUCCGCUCUCAAUGUACCAGCUCAAAAGAAAGAGAUUCCUUCACUCUCAAUAUGGUUUAUCGUCUGCAAAUGCAAUAAAAGAAUCAGAAACAUUGCGAAACUGCCAAUUGUUGCAUGGCCCAAAUAUUUAUUUGAGACAGAAGAUAAGGUAACAUGUAGUCCUGAGUUGACAAAUAUGUAAUUGGUAAGUCAAAGAAUUUUCUUAUUCGAAUAAUGAAACUAAUUUUACGUCAUUUUAAGUAUUAAGAGAUUGGGUGCCUACUAAUUUAACAUAAAACUCAAAUCCACAUUAGGCUUACUUUCUUAUUCGAACCGAAAAACACAAUGAAAGAAGAAGUAAUAAUAACAUCGGUUCUAGAUAUAUUCGUCAUGUAAGAGUUCAUUCAUGUUACGAGUUCACUCAUCAGAGUUCAUUCAUUAGCUAAAAAAUGAAAUUUCAGAUUGACCCGUUACACAGUAGUCAUCCUCAUCAACGUAGAUGUCAUUCCCAUUUCACUCACUUUCCUCUUCUUAGUAGAUCUCCCGAACAUUUUUGUACCUAUAGUUUAAGGAAAGAAUUCUAACCCGCACAGAAUCGGGUCCCAAACAUACCCUUAAUUAUUGUAUUAGUUUCUUUCAUUAAGAAAUACCAACUGAAGUGGAAUUAUUGGGUUCUGUUUUCACUAUUUUCUGAUUACACUUCUUAAUUCAUUUCCUAUUUUCUAGUCAGAUUCCUAAUCUAAAAUCCGACUUUUAUGAUUGAGAAGUGAAUCUGACCACAAUACCACUUUGUCAAAUGGCAUAUUCAACAUGCAGAUAUAAGUUCUAUUCAAGUUUAUAACAAAUUCAUAUGAACAUUUCCAAGUAAUUCAUACAUAAUUAACUUCAAAAUAAACAUUUUUUUUAGCAAAUUGGGCUAAAACACCUGCUCUACAAAAAAAUUCUUUAAAUACUGAUUUCAAGCAAUUCAGUAACUAAAUGCUUAACUUAGAAAAAUACUCAAAUUUCAGCAAUUAGAUUUCUAACAUAACUUAAACAUUACAAAUUUAACUAAUUACAUUCAUCCAGAAUAUAGAUUUUCACAUAAUUUCAAAAGGUUCUCUCUUAAUCACACAAUUUGAAGAAACAAAAAAACCAAAUACAUACACGAUCACAAAGCUUAAUAACAGAACAGAAAUUUUAGACAUGCCAUCAGCCCAACCAAUAGACCUUCCCAGAAUCUGAAAAGCGUUUCUAUAAAUCCUGAUCUCAAGGCAACCCAAAAGCUGAAUUCUUAGCUUAAAUAAAGAUGCAAAAUUUUACUUUUUGGAAAUGCCAUUACCUGAAAGCUUAAGCAAAACCCAUGAAUCCAACCGCGCAAAAAAAAUGCAAACUUUCUCAUUGGCAGAUCAUUCAUAACCCAAAAAUCAUAUCUUAAGCAAAACUCAUGAAUCCAACUUUAAAAGGCCCAAUUCUAAACCCACCAAGAGAAAUAAAAUAUCAAAAACAGUUCAUCGUCUCUCUUUGCAUUUUAAAUCAUAUGGUCUUGUGUUUACUCGAAUGAAAAAAAAAAAGUAAACACAGAACUUAUGAUAAAAAUUCAAAUAGGCUAGAAGCCAGCAAGCGAAUGAAUUUAUAAAUUAGAUAUACUGCCACAGAAAUAAUGACCUUGGUAUUUCACAAACUUUGCAUAAGCUGAUCCUGAAGGCACAAUUUGAAGCACCAGUCUUGAAAACUGCAAAUAACCAACAACUUGUUAGAGCGGUAAAAACUCUAUAUAUAAUGCCUGGUUUUGACACUGUAAAAAAUAAUAUAAAAACAGAGCGAUCAAUUUUCAUCAGUAAACAUACCCAUAACCGUAAUGUCAGCCCAAUACUUCUUCAGCAAAGCAUCAACAUUAGCUAUAGCCUGUAAAAAUAAAAUAAAAAUCAAACUUUUUACCUGGAUCAUCACACAAUGGCAACUACAAAAAAUACCCAGAUAAAAACUGAAUGAAAAAAAUUACCUGUCUCAUGCCCUCGGAGUGAUAGGGUUCCCAUCGGUGAUGAGCAACAGAAGCAUGAUAUACAACGACCCAACGCCGAAUUAUCAUCCAAUCAUAUUUUACACAGGUAAUAAAUAUUUUAUAUCUAUACAUAUAAAAAAAAUUCAACUGACAACAGCACCACAUCCAAUUUGAAUCUAUAAUGCUAUGAUAAAGAACGAAGUAAGAGUUAGUUACUAGAAACCCAGAUUCUAUUGGUGUCAUUACCCAAUCUUGUAUUCGAUCAUAUACCAAGAUAUUGAAGCUAACAUUUUUAAUCUAAAAGCCUAGAAAUCAUAAGAAAAACAAAUGUUGAACUCACAGUAAUCUCAGCCAGCAAUGACCUCUGUAUCCCCAAAAAAUUAUAAAUUAAUACAUAGUCCAUACUCCAUACUCCAUACUCCAUACUCCAUACACAAACCAAAAAAUAAAAAAAUAAAAUAAAAUAAAAUAAAAUCUUUUUCAAUCAUUUUCUCAUCAACCAAAUUGAGCACAAGAUUGGGAAAUGAUUAAUCACCUGUAUGGGGAACUUCAUGGCCAACAAAGCCUGACACGAUCUCCCAUAAUUUCCUCAUAAUUCAUUUUUCUCAUAAUUUAUUGGAAAAAUGCAGAAUUUGGAUGGUUGUGGUCCUUACAUACAUGUCGAGCCAAAAAUAAUCACAAGGCGACACGUGGAUUUUUGGACAAAAGAGGGCAAAAAUACUCUUAAAGUACAACGGGAUUCCUAUUCGCAAGUCAUUCUUCAACCAAAUAAAAAAUGCCCAAAAUAGAUAACAAAUUCAAAAUUAUUUCAUCCAUCCUCAUCCUAUAUUUUCUACAAGGUAAUCAUUCCAUAACUUACAAAAUAUUUCACAUAAAUCACAUAACCCCCAAAAUAUUUAUUCCUAAAAUGUGUUGAUUAACCAAUUAAUGGAUUAAUUGCCUAAUUAAUCCAUUAUAUCACACAUUAAACCAUAAGUUAUACCCUCUCCUAUAAAAACCCUAUUUUCUUCUCCAAAAGGCACUUCCAACGCUCUUGAAAAACUCUCUAAACAUUUUUCUCUCUAAAUUCUAACUUUGACAUCGGAGGUUCUUCGGCUAAACAUUUUUACGCUCUUGAAAAACUCUCUAAACAUUUUUCCCCCUUCCCUUUCUUCGACGACCGACACGUGCACAAUAGGGGCAAACGCAUAGAAUUCCAUCUUCUACCAAAUAUUCAGCUCGCGGAAAUAGAAAAGGUGAGAAAAAUGAAAAUAUUGAAUUCAACUCACACAAAACCAAAAAGGAAGACAGACAGAUUGCAGACCCUUUCCAUUUGGCAAGUAAUGCCAAUUAUACUAGAAGUAUGCCUAACUUACAAAAGCCUAAAAUCCUAGAAAAACAGGAGUAGAGGAAAUGGGCUCAAUACAAAAAUUUACCAAAUAAGAAUGAUGAAUCCGUUAAAGUAGGAAAGUUUAGGCAUUCACCAAUAUUCCCACUUGAACAACAUUGAAUUUAGCAUUCGUCUUCAGAUGUCAUCUAGAUCCAUUCGUGGAGAGUGAGUGAGGGCUUAAUAAUCAAAACCAUGUCUUUUACUGCUAAAUUAUACGUAAGAAUCGUUAGAAAAAAGGCAAAGUGAAAAAAAUAAAGGAAUUGAAGAACUUAACGUAGAAACUCUAAAACAAACCCAAGUAACCCACAUGCCAAUCCAACCAAAAUCAAAUCGAAUACCUUUCAAGCUUCAUAUUACAAAUUAUCAACAAACCAUCAAAAGGAAAACCAAUUCAACCCACAUUCCAAUUCAACCAAAAUUCAACAACUUUGCCCGAAAUUAGAUCAACAAAAAGAGAAAUAGGGGAAAACCCACAUGCAAUAGGAGAGAAAUAGAGAGAGAUUUUAACUAACUUACCACUGUGUUGGAACUUCGAAAACACGAACUCUAGCACCAGUUCCUCUUACGCUAUUGACAAUGAAGUUGUGGUUCAAAGAAUCACAAUCAAUCAAGCCUACUUGUAAAGAAAAACAAAAUUUAGAAGGCAUUUGUUUAAGUAAAGAUGCAAACCUUCCCCUUUUUGACAUGAAUAAUAAAAGAGUUUGCGACAAAACCCAUUCCGAAAACUAUAGCAGCAUGUUCCUUUCUGCUUUUCCCUUUUACUGACUUCCAUAAUUAUCCCCGUAUGCACCAAAGAAACAUAAAAUGACAACCAAUGUGAUAGGUUACAAUAUCUGAACUCACUAUUCUAUUGCAGGCAAGGCAAGAAUGUUUACCAGCUUGGCUUCCUGCACCUUGACAACACGCAGAGAAAUUAAAUAUUUCUGUUCGGGCAAGAAAUUUGGCUAGUGAGCGAUCCUGGCUCGAGCACACAGCUCCCCGAGGAGUUAGCACUUUGGUUGAUUGUCGGGCUCCUGCUUGUCACGAUGCUGCAAGAGAAGAACAAAGUUAGUUCUAAAAGGCGCCUUUGUGGGGCCUUAGGUGUAGGCCUUGAGGCUUGCAAUCAAAACCAACUAAGUGAUUAGGCAUGCCACUGCCAUCUCUAUAAGGCAGAUGUAGAACAAGUGUGUUUUAAGCCGAUUACUUGCGCCCCAAGUUAUUUCUGACUUCUUGUUUAUCAAAGGAUUGUUGUAGAUGAGUUAAAUCUACAUUAAGUUCUUUUCUAUGCCUUGAGAUCAAGGAUUUUUAGUUAUCUUGUAUGUUUAAGGGAUGAAGGUCCAGAUCUGAUCAAGUCAUCAGUUUAACUGAUUUCAAUUUUCUUAUGACGAUUAAAUCAUUAAGUGAACUAGAUCUGAGAACUAAUGGGGGUUUGAGUCAUCAAAAGACUGGAAACAACUUGAAUAUAAACUGGGGAAUGCAUUAUAACACCAGAUCUAUUAAUUGAAAGACAAAACAAAGAGGGUCGGGUAAGAUUUUACCUUGUCGGGCAAGGUUAAAUGUCUUGUGGUCUUUUUUCUUUGUAGUUUCAAAAGGAUUGAGUACUAUAAGGGAUGACUGGAAAAGAGUUUAUACAAGAAAGAUCGACACUACAACAUUUAGGAAAAGGUAGCAGAGCUUUUACAUAGACAAAAAAUGCCUUUCUAAGGAAAUAUAAGGCUAAAAGGGUGCAGAGUCUGGACAAAGCACAACUUUCUGGGUGUUUGCUUGGCUGAGAGACAAGUUGUAUGUUUGUUUGUUUGAUUGGUUGAGUGUCCUUUUCUUUUGGCCCUCUUCCUCCUUUUAUAGACGAAUUAACUUGAUUUAUGCUGUUUCUGUUCUUGCCCGAAAGUAAUUGGAGGGUAGGGAACCAUCAAUAUUUUACAUGCUAUGCCAUUCAUAAAGUGCUUUUGGGCUGAGAGUUGAUGGAUUUCCAUUGGUUGUCACUUCUUUUGUAAGCACCUAAUCUUUGCAUUUAAUGGGGAGCCAUCAUGUUGUCUCGAAGUGGAUACCUAGGCUUGGUGCUGGGCUUCGAGCAAAAACUCUUCUCAUUGAACUCUUUUGGGCUUUCUCUCAUUUAAGCCCAAAGUUAAAUAUUAACCCAAACAGUGCCCCAUUCAAUCGUUGUUAAGCCUGCAAACCGAGGCGUUAAUAAUGAUUGAAUAGCCGUCUUCCAUUAACCCCUGCCGCGCAAAUGAAGAGGGUUUUAUAGCGAAGAAACUAGUGAUGGUUCAUGCAGCUUUAAGUACUUUUGCUAUAAAACCGCGACUCCAUUGGCCAAACAAAUUGGUCGGGCUUCGGGAUGAAGGUGUAAAAGAUUUGAAGGGGUUGCGACAGCAAAUGGAAGUUGGAUACGCUGAAACAUUUUCAGUCAAUAAUCACAAUGUUUAAGAAGAGUCGGACAAAAAUGUAGGCCCCCCAUUCUAGGAUAACUGCCUGAGUUAGGGAUGUAAAGCCUUCAAGUUAAAUCUGAUGUAACUUUCAACAUUUGCUGAAAUGAACAAGAUUUCUUUAAACUAUUUUGUUCUUGCAUUUUCUCUGAGAUCCAUAGGCAAAAACUGACUUUAGACCCCAUGCGACGCUUACACUUCUUCUUCAAUGUAGCAGUCCCUCACAUCCCACAGGGUUGGGUGAUAUUUUUUCAAGAAUUUGACAUUGAUUGGAUGCUUCUGUAAGCCUCCCUCCAAAUCUGCUAAGUAAUAUCCACCCUUACCCAAUACUUGGUUAAUAAUGAAAGGACCUUCCCAAGUCGGGCUCCAUUUUCCAAAGCCUCUGAUCUGAGCUUCCAAAGGAAGAAUUGCCUUCCAUACUAACUCUCAUUCUUUGAAGUUCUUCAACUUAACCUUUUUGUUGUAGGCCCAGGCAACAACUUUCUUGCCUUCUUGAAUUUUAUUUAGAGCUCUUCACUGUGUAGCCCGAAUUGAUUUUGAAUUUUGAUCGAAUUUACAUUAAUUUCCAUGGGAAUCACAACAUCUUGCCCGAAAGUCAGAGCAUAAGGAGUAGUUCCAGUUGUUGCCCUUUUGGAAGUUUUAUACGCCCAUAACUUUUCUCCCAACUUCUCAUACCAUUUCUCUGGAUUCCUGACUACCAUUCUUUUAAUAAUGCCUACCAAGAUCUUAUUGCUGGCUUCAGCUUGACCGUUCGAUUGGGGGUAGUAAGGACUAGACUGGAUCAUCUUUAUCUUGAACUUUCUGGAAAAUUCUUCUACUUCUUUCGAAAUAAAAGAUGACCCGCAUUCUGUGACAAUUGUCUCGGGCACCCCAAAUAUAUGUAAGAUCUUGGUUUCGAUGAAUUUCUUGACCGUAGUUGAAAUGUUAGUUUUUACUGCUAAAGCUUUUGCCCAUUUAGUGAAGUAAUCUGUUGCUACGAUUAUGAACGUGUGCCCUUUGCUAUAAGCUGGGUGAAUCUGCCCAAUGAAGUCCAUUGCCCAUCCUCUAAAAGGUCAAGGCUUAGCCACGAGGUUUAAGGGUACUGAGGGCACAUGUUGGAGUGGUCCAUGUCUCUGGCAUUCUUCACACAUUCGGGCAUAAGCUUUGCAAUCUUUCUCCAUCUCGGGCCAGAAAUAACUGUAUCUCUUAAGUAGCCAUCUCAUCUUUGUUCCUGCCUGAUGUGCUCCACAGAUCCCCUUAUGCACUUCGACCAUUACCCUCAUUUAUUCUUCUUAGCCUAAGCAUUUUAACAUUAGUCCAUCUGAAGUCUUCCUUAGUAGAUUUUCUUCCCACAAAACGUACUUAGUUGCUUGCUCUCUAUUCUUUUUACUUGUGGGGAAGGAUGGGUCAUUUAAAUAUCGAAGAACAUGUGUCUUCCAAUCUUCAAUCUCCAAUUCUUCAAUCAUUACAUCUAGGCUGAAUCCCCUUUCCAAGAUGGAAGGGAGAUUUCUUCUUUGGACCUAUAUGUCCCCUUCAAACUUUCUCUCUUGGAUCUGUACUCUAGAGGCCAAUUAUGCCAUCUCGUUGGCAAUCGCAUUUGCUUCUCUAAGGAUGUAGUUGGCUGAUAUUUUAGUGCCCCAAUAGCUUAACAAUUGGGUGGCCACUAAGUAAUAAUCAGCUAUAGUGAUGUGUCUGCAUUUGUACUCUUCAUUCAACUGAUUGAUCACCAACUCUGAGUCACCGAAUACUUCAACUUCAGUUGCCCCCAAUUCUAUCAAGAUCUUUAGGCCAAUUAUCAAGGCCUUAUAUUCUACCCAAUUGUUAGUAGUUUCUUGAUAAUCCAGGAGGAAAAAAUAACAAUGGUGAGUACCUUUAGGAUCGAUAAUAGGGAUCCCAGCUCCAGCAACAUUUUGGGUACAAGAUCCAUCAAAAUACAGGUUUCAUGGAGUAACUCAUAGGCUGGAUAUCCUUUUUACCUCCUGCUGGAUCCACUAUUUCUUGCCCGAGAUGGCUUUGCUUGGUGGGAUCCAGAGGUUAGCCACCUCUAGAGUUUCAGGGAUGUUAAUUAUUUCUUUUUGGGACUCUUGGUGCUCGGCCAAAAAGUCUGCAAUUGCCUGCCCCUUGACUGCCUUUUAAGGUACAUACUGAAAACUAAAUUUAGACAGUGCCAGAAUCCACUUUCCAAUUUUUCCUGUCAACAUUGGUUUUGACAGCAUAUAUUUGAUCACGUCGGUCUUGGCAAUGAUGUGGAUGUGGCAAGGCAACAUGUAAUGCCUUAACUUGCAAACACUAAAGUAUAAAGUCAAGCAUAAUUUUUCCACUCGAGUAUAUCUUGUUUCUACCUCAGUAAGGAUCCUAUUGAGGUAAUAUAGGGAUUGUUCCUUUCCACAUUCGUUGUUUUGGGCUAGCAAGCUUCCAAUUGACCUCUUCGAGGCAGAAAUAUAAAGUUUUAACGGCUUUCCCCUCUGAGGUGGCAUGAGCACUGGUGGAAAGGCUAAGUAAGCCUUUAUGCUAUCGAAAGCUUCUUGGUGUGGUAGGCCCCAUUCAAACUCUUCUUUAUCCUUUAGCCUUAGUAGAGGAGUUAGUGGCUGAAUUUGCCAGCUAAAUUGGCAAUGAAUCUCCUCAAGAAGUUAAUUUUUCCUAGUAGCUUUUGUAGUUGCACUUUAUUGGUGGGGGCGAUGUCUCUAUGAUUUCCCAAACUUUGUUCUUGUCAGCAUCCACUCCUCUUUGAUGCACGAGGAAUCCCAAAAAGUUGCUCGAUCUUACUCCAAAAACACAUUUCUUUGGGUUCAUUUUUAGCUUAUGGAUCGUCAUUCUUGUCAAGGCUUGUUUGAGAUCCAUCAAAUGCUGCUAUUCAAUUUUGGAUUUUACCACGAUGUCAUCAAUAUACACUUCCAUACUAUGCCAGAUUAAGUCAUGAAAAAUGGCAUUCAUCGCUCUUUGAUAAGUUGCACCGGCAUUUUUGAGCCCGAAUGACAUUACUAAAUACUCAUAUGCUCCUAUAUGGCCUGGGCACCUAAAAGUUGUUUUAUGUAUAUCUUUUUUAGCCAUUUUUAUCUGAUUAUAUCCAGCAUUCCCAUACAUAAAAGAUAUAACUUUGUGCUUGGACACUGCAUCUAUGGAUAGGUUAGCCAUAGGCAUGGGGUAUUCGUCUUUAGGCGUAGCUCCAUUAAUGUUUCUAUAGUCAACACAACAUCUAACUGCUUUAGUUAAUGCUUUCAAAACAGGUACAAUGUUGGCCAACCACUCAACGUAUUUGGCAGGCCUAAUAAAUACGGCAUUCACCAGCCUUUUGAUCUUUUCCUUGACAUUCUCUUCAAUUUCUUUGGACAUUCUUCGUGGUGCUUGUUUGACAGGUUUAAACCCCUUCUUAAUAGGCAUUUUAUGUUUUACCAAGGUUGGAUCUAAACCUGGCAUCUUGAUGUAAUGCUAAGCGAAACAAUCUUUGAAUUCAUGUAGAAGGUCGACAAUCCUUGCCCAAUCUUCGGUUUCCAACAAACCACUAAUAUGUAUUGGUCUUGGAUCCUCCUUAGUUCCUAAAUCAAUGGUCUCCAAGGGGUUUUGUACUUCUGGGGCUGGUUUGUCUCGUUCUGCACACAAAAACUCAACUAGUUCUGGAUUCUUGGGCAAAUCUUCUGGUCCAUCUAAGUCAUAUAUACACUCAGCUAUUUGGAUGGUCGUUUCUAACUCUUCCCAAAAAGACCUUACUUCUCUGUUCUGGCUACUUGAAGCCCGCUCCUCUGUUUUUCUUCUAAGGCUAAGUUAUCCUUUUCUUGUCUUUUCUCUCUCCCAUACACCAACAGUCUUUUUAUUAAGGACCUGACUGCAACCACUUGGUCUUUCCUAUUCUGUUCUGACAUCAAUGGUGUUGGGGGUUAGGGAUGAUAUUGGGCCGAUCUCAUUCUUCCCUUGUAAGGGGUAACCCUUAUUCUAGAAGCUUUUGGGCCAUCACCUUAGUUGGGAGGCCGUUCUUAUCAGCUUCUGAACACUGAAGAAUCCCAAUACUGGGAUCGUAGAAGUUGGCUUCUGCGAUGUUGGCUAUAGGUAAGAAUGGUCGUGAUUCGGCCUCCACUAUUUCUGAAAACCCAGGUCCCGUUUCCCUUUCUUCAUGGUAGACAACCACUUGUUGAUGCAAAGUAGAUGGCACAAAGAGACUAUGGUGAAUCCAAUAUCUGCCCAGUAAAGCUUCAUAAGUAGAAGUACUGUUUACAACAAAAAAGGCCAGCAUGAUUUGUUUUGAACCCAAAUCGACCUCUAAUGGUAAUAUCCCAUGAGUUCGGGUGAUAGCUCAUGUGAAACUAGAAACUGUAAGAUCCGUAGGAAUAAGAUUUUUCUCGCCUUUGCACAUUUUCUUCAUCUGCUUGUAAGGUAACACAUUAACUGCGGUCCUUCCAUCGAUCAAGACCCUCUUGAAAGGUACCCCUUCCAGGUAAGCAGUUACGUAUAUGGGUUUGAGAUGGUUGGCUAGGGUCAAACUCGAGCGAACAAAAACCAUUUUGUUCGAAUAUAUUUUCUCAGGCUUCCUUCCUGAUUGCUCAGGCGUGCUUGUUUGGUUGGACUCUCAUUGUCCAGUUUUUUCAACAUUAACAUGCGUCAUCAUUGGUUCUGCUGCCAAGUAAUCACCUUCCAUUGUGGGUAGUUGAUCAUGCUCGGCGCGAAACAUAGCUGAUAAAACAUAUGCCAUGUUUACGUGGAAGUUGCUGGGUCCAGGUAAAUCUUUCCCUUGCCCUAAUGUUGUUCAUAAACUCCUCCAACCAAGUCUGUGCUUCGGCAAUUGUUCUGGAACUUCGCAGAUAUUAUCCAUUAACAAUGGUGCGGGCAACCGUCUCUCGGGUGAAAUAGUUCCAAAGGAGAUCGGUUUUGGGCUCCAUUUUGGGGUAGGCAUCAUCAUCAUAUCCUCUUGAGCUCUUCAUUCUUGCUGUUUGCCUUCCUCUUCAUUCUUGUUGUUUGCCUUCUUCACCUCAUUCUUACUCCUCCAAUGAAGCUGAUGUCUUCUUUCAUAAGGAACGUUUUUGAGUUUUACAUUCUUUGAGGUUUCCAAAGUAGUGGGAAGUUUCAAUGAGUUUAUGUGGGCUUUAUGCUGCCUUUGGACCCUCUUGAUCAUGGAGGCUCCCAUCUCUUUAACAGGUCUCCCGUCAUUUCUGAUUAUGUACCAUUUUCACCCAAGUCAGGCAAGAUUUUUCUUUGUGAUCGGGUUCGUGGUCCUUCCUUUUGUUCUUACAUCUCAAUCGGCAUAAACGGGUUGGGAUGGCCUCGCAUCCACCCAUCUUGGUAUCUUGGCCUCCUUAUCCUCUACUUCCUCAGAAGCUUCAUAGUUCCUGAACACUUCUGACAAGUUUUUAGGCUGAGAGUCUUUUCCCAACCUCUGGAAGACAUUCCUAGAGGUUUCCUUCUCAGCUGCCCACAUGAUUUUCAUGUGGUUUUCAUGUUCUUCCUCUUUUCUCCUUUUAAUCAAUUCAUAAUCAAUGACAACUCCAAUUGUUGGUACUUUUAGUUCGCAUUCACCUUGACUCCUGUUGUAUAUCACUACUCCUUUGAUUAUGACAACCUUAGGUUUUUUGGGCAGCUUGAUAGCUCAUUUAGUUGGUCUAUCAACUGGUCUUCUUUCCGCCUUGACCUUCCACGUGGCCUUUCCUUUUCCUUUCUCUGCCCAUGUUAGGUUGAUCAUGCUUAUUGGGGCUUCUAGAAAAUGAUCAGCACCAGUCAUUGUAUCAGUUUGUGGUUAUCCCAAUAUCUAUUUUAUUUCUAGCUCGCAUCUCCCUUUGCUAUCUAAUGAAAAUAACAAGGGAUUAGGCAACUCUGGUCCCCUGACUUUCUUCAACACUGGCUGAUCUACUUCAAAUCUUUCCUUGUUCUUUUCUUUAUUCCUUUUUUCCUUAAGUAAAGGAAAUAGAGGAAUAACUGACUCUUCCAUAGGGCUGGUUUCUUUCUUCGCCUCUUUAACAUAAUCAUUCUCUGGAGUAUGGUACUUUAAAUCCAGCCUUCUUUGCCGAUGUUCUGUUAAGGAACAAAGUCUACUUCCUUCCUCUCUUGUUUGUAGAUAGUUUCUCUUCACGCUCCUUACCACAGCCAUCAAAGAAGUCUGCAAAUUUUCAUUUGUUACCUUUUCUCCUGAUCUCGCAGAAGGGGUCGGGCUUUCCGUCAAGGCAUAUCCUUGCAAGUCUUCGGGGAGAUUUGCAAUGCUAGAUCUUGGUGUGUACCAGGGUGGUUUUUGAUUUGAUUCCCACCUGAGGGUUUGCUCCUUCCUUUAUCUUCUUGGCAUACAAGAUUUGUAGUCCCAUUGGGCGUGCCAAAACUAUGUUCGGGCAAGAAAUCUGGCUGGUGGGCGAUCCUAGCUCGAGCACACAACUCCUUGAGGAGUUGGCACUUUGGUUAAUUGUCGAGCUCUUGCUUGUCGCGAUGCUACAAAAGGAGAACAAAGUUAGUUCUAAAAAUGCCUUUGUGAGGCCUUAGGUGUAAGCCUUGAGGCUCGCAAUCAAAACCAACUAAGUGCUUAGGCGUGCCACUGCCAUCUCUAUAUGGCAGAUGUAGAAUAAGUGUGUUUUAAGACAAUUACUUGCGCUCCAAGUUAUGUCUGACUUUUUGUUUAUAUGGGUUUAGUCUACAUUAAGUUCUUUUCUAUGCCUUGAGAUCAAUGACUUUUAGUUAUCUUGUAUGUUUAAAGGAUGAAGGUCCAGAUCUGAUCAAGUCAUCAGUUUAACUUAUUUCAAUCUUCUUAUGACGAUAAAACCAUUAAGUGAACCAGAUCUGAGAACUAAUAGGGGUUUGAGUCAUCAAAAGACUGGAAACAACUUGAAUAUAAACUGGGGAAUGCAUUAUAACACCAGAUCUAUUAAUUGAAAGACAAAACAAAAAGGGUCGGGCAAGAUUUUACCUUGUCGGGUAAGGUUAAACAUCCUGCGGUCUAUUCUCUUUGCAGUUACAAAAGGAUUGAGAACUAAAAUGGAUGACUGGAAAAGAGUUUAUACAAGAGAGAUCGAUACUACAACAUUUAGGAAAAGGUAGCAGAGCUUUUACAUAGACAAAAAAUGCCUUUUUAAGGAAAUCUAAGGCUAAAAGGGUGCAGAGUCUGGACAAAACACGACUUUCUGGGUGUUUUCUUAGCUGAGAGACAAGUUGUAUGUUUUUUUGUUUGAUUGGUUGAGUGUCCUUGUCUCUGGGCCAUUUUCCUCCUUUUAUAGACGAAUUAACUUGAUUUGUAUUGUUUCUGUUCGUGCUCGAAAUCAAUUGGAGGGUAGGUAACCAUCAAUAUUUUACAUGCUAUGACAUUCAUAAAGUGCUUUUGGGCCGAUAGUUGGUGGAUUUCCAUCGGUUGUCACUUCCUUUGUAAGCAUGUAAUCUUUGCAUUUAAUGGGGAGCCAUCAUGUUGCCUCGAAGUGGACACCUAGGCUUGGUGCUGGGCUGUAGGUAGAAAUUCUUCUCAUUGAACUCUUUUGGGCUUUCUCUCCUCUAAGCCAAAGUUAAAUAUUUACCCAAACAAUUUCCCUCGCGCUGAUCUCUGGAAUAUGCACGUCAUGUUGGCUUACAUAAGCUGAGGUUUUCUAAGAAACAAACUCUUCUAGUCUAUGACCAUUGUAAGUUUGUAAGAACAUCCCCAAUGAGGGUUUUAUCCUCAUUAAGGCUACCACAUUUGUAGCUUUAACGAAAAAUUUCAUCCCCAAUGGGCUGGAAAAUAGGGCUACAUCCACCACAUGGGCUAGCUAUAAAGGGCAAUAUUGUAACUACACCAUCUAGAGAUAUUACUUAGUGGUUAAGAAAUCUGUUAGUUUGUUGUAUUUGUUUUCCUUAGUAGUUACAAGAUACUUGUAUAUAAAUACUAAAAGUGUAAUAUUAUUCCCUUAUGAAAUGAAAUCAUAUUUUAUCAAAUAUGGUAUCACCGGCCUUUUGUUCUCACGACUUCUCUCUCUUCGAUCCAAACCUUCUCGCUUAUUUUUACGAUCUUCUUCUCUGAUUUCUUGAUCGAUUCUUCGAUCGUGUUUGAGUUCUUCGAUCUUCAGUCAUCAAUCUCUGGCAAUGGCAACCUUUGCAUCUCCUUCGUCUAAAUUGGCUUCUUUAGUUCAUCCUCUUCCAACUGCACCUCCAAAUCCUAAUUCUUUGAUCUUUGCCUCAAUCACGAUCCAAAACAUUGGAUCCAUGGUGCCAAUCAAGCUCACCACCACUAAUUACUUAACCUAGAGUGCUCUCUUUGCUCCAGUUUUUCAUCACUACAAUCUUACCAGUCUUAUUAAUGGAUCUAUGGUGGCACCGCCUCAGUUUCUUCUUGAUUCUUUGAAAAAUCGCAUCCUCAAUCCUGCCUAUGUCUCUUGGUAUGAGAACGAUCAAAAUAUUCUCAUCUAGAUCAACUCCACACUUUCUAAAUCCCUAAUUCCUUAUACAGUUGAUGUGAAUUCGACUCGUGAACUUUGGGCGAAAUUGGAAUCAAGACUUAGCACGGCUUCUCAAUCUCACAUCCAUAAGCUUUGAUCUCACAUUUGUAAUGUUACCAAAGGUGAUUCCACUGCUGCUUAAUAUCUUCAACAAAUUGAGUCAAUUGUUGAUGCCUUUAAUAGUGCUGGUUCUCCGGUUGAAGAUUCAAAUUUGAUCUUUGUCACUCUUCAUGGUUUUCCCCUGAAUAUGAUUCAUUCGUUGAUGCUAUACAAUUUCAACUCAGAUCUACAACAAUUGAUGAACUAUAUGGUCUGCUUCUUGGGAAAGAGAUCCAGUUGGCUAAUCAUAAGAAAAGCACAUCUGAAUCAUCAUUUUUUCAGGCUUUCAAUAUUAUGAUGGUAUUCUUCCAUUUCUUGCACCAAACCCUAACCCUCAAGCGUUUGUUGCUUAGGCUCCUUCUACCUUCAACAAUCAAGGUCGUGGAAAGGAUCACACUUACAAUCGCGGCAAUUUCACUCGUGGAAAUUACAAAUCCUAUAAUAAUCAGAGAUCAAACAAUUACAAUCGACAGAACAACAAUAAUCAGCAUUAUAAUCGUGGAGGUCGAAAUAAUUUUUCUUCAUCUAACAAGAAAACUUCUUGCCAUAUAUGUCAUCAGUUUGAUCAUGAGGCUUGUGACUGCCCUCAUUGCAUGAAUCAGGCCUAUGGUGGAAAACCCUCUAAUUCAGCAAUGGUUUCUAGCACCUUAUCUUCAAAUCCUACUUGGAUUGUGGACUUCGGAGCCACCUCACACAUGACCAACUCUUAUGCAACUCUGCAAAAUCCUAAAGCUUACACUAGUCCUGAACAAAUGUACAUUGGUGAUGGCAAAGGUUUGCCCAUCACUCACUUUGGCUCUAUGGUUUUGAAUGCUUAUACUAAUGCUUUUAAACUAAAUAAAGUCCUAUAUGUGCCUGAUUUGAAACAUAAUAUUCUCUCUGUAAAUCAAUUUCUGAUUGAUAAUCGAUAUUAUCUGCAUCUUUAUCCUUCUCACUUCACUGUGAAUGACCUUUCUUCGGGGAGAAUGGGUUUUAAAAGACCUGUCCAGCAUAGUUUCUAUCCAUUCCUUUUCUCCUCUUUUACAAAUGAUCAUCAUAAAACACUCAUUGCAUCUGUGAAAGCUUCAAGAGAUGUCUGGCACCAACGAUUGGGUCACCCUUUUGUCAAGAUUAUCAAUAAGCUUGCCUCUCAAUCUUGUAUUUCAGUUUUAUCUUAUACAAAUUAGUCCUUUUGUUUAGAUUGUGCAUUAGGAAAAUGUUCUAGGCUUCCUUUUGUCUCUGCAAAUUGUACAACUAGUAAGCCUUUAGAACUUAUUCACACAGACGUUUGGGGACCAUCACUUAUAGCUUUUUCUUAAGGUUUUAAGUACUAUGUCAUUUUUGUGGAUGACUAUACCCGAUAUUGCUAGUUCUAUCCUUUGAAAUGCAAGUCUGAUGUACUGUCCACUUUUAUGCAAUAUAAGUAUGUGGUUGAAAACUCUCUAUGCACAAAGAUUGUUGCUUUAAGGUUUGAUUCUGGUGGAGAGUACUUGAGUACUCCUUUCUCAACUUUCUUGGCUACACAUGGUAUUCAACAUCAACUUACUUGCCCCCCCACCCCUGAAUAAAAUGGGUGUGCAGAAUGUAAACAUCGCCAUUUAGUUGAAACUACUCACAUUCUUUUGGCAGCUUCUAAAGUACCUCAUAUCUACUGGGUUGAGGCAUUUCACACAACAAUCUAUCUUAUUAACAGAUUGCCCACUGCAUCAAGAUCAUCUCCUUGGGAAGCUCUGUAUCAUUGAGCACCAAACUACAAUUUUUUGAAAGUUUAUAGAUGUGUCAGUUUCCCAUGGUUAAAGCCUUAUACUUCCUCAAAGUUGGAUCCUAAAAGUAAGGCCUAUGUAUUCCUAGGCUACCGUUUGAAUCAUAAGGGCUACAAGUGCCUUGAUCCUACAAUCAACAUAAUGUAUAUCUCCAAGCACGUUCUAUUCAAUGAAUCAAGCUUCCCAUUUCACCAUAUAUCAACCUCCUCACCUACCUUUCCAAAUUUAAAGUUCAGGAUAAACCAUUCUAUCCAUUUUUACCUUUACAUUUACUCAUUUUCUUGCACCUGUUCAUACCACUUUAACCUCAUCUCAUCUGUCCUCUUCCCUUUAACCUACCAUUUCACCUGUCAAUUCCACCAAUACAACCUCAAGCUUUUCAGUGGCAGUCUCACAACCCAUCACCACCAACCCCAUCCAACCCAUCAACACUCAUUCAAUGCAAACAAGGUCCAAAGUCUGGCAUUUUCAAGCCUAAAGCCCUCACUGUCACUAAACACCCCCUACCCUUUCAUCUCUCAGUGGAUUAUAUACCUACAACUUACCUUCAAGCUUCAAAGUUUUCUCAUUGGUGCCAAGCAAUGCAAGAAGAAGUCAAUGCCCUUAUCAACACUGGCACAUGAUCACUUGUCCCUAAGUCUUCAUCAUAGAAUAUUGUAAGAUGCAAGUGGGUUUUCGAAUCAAGAGAAAGCCCGAUGGAACUAUAGACAUGUACAAAGCCCAGCUAGUUGCAAAGGGAUUCAAUCAACAUGAAGAUCUAGACUACACUAAAACCUUUAGUCCGUAGUCAAACCAAUUACUAUUAAGCUUCUACUCACUCUUGCAGCUUAAUAUCAUUGGUUUUUAAACCAACUCGAUGUCAGUAAUGCCUUUUUACAUGGUACACUUACUGAAUCAGUUUUCAUGCAACAACCUUUUAGUUAUGAAGAUUUAACUAAGCCAUCUCAUGUCUGUCACUUGCAUAAACCCUUGUGCGGUUUAAAACAAGCUUCAAAAGCUUGGUAUGAGAAGCUUUAUGGUGCUUUUCACUCUCUUGGCUUUGUAGGCUCUAACAAUGACCAUUCUCUAUUUAUCAGAAAGGUUCCAUAUGUGGUUUUCAUCCUAGUUUAUGUUGAUGACAUUUUGGUCACAUGUCCUAAUUCUGCAACUUGUCAAAAAGUGAUUCAGCAACUUAGCUCCAUGUUUCCAAUCAAAGAUCUUAGACCUCUGCAUUAUUUUCUUGGACUUGAAGUUAAAAGAUCAUCAUUAGGCAUAUUCAUAUCUCAGACCAAAUAUAUCUUGGACCUGUUAUCCAAAGCCAACCUGACUGGGGCCAAACCUUGUAGUACACCACUCAGUACCUCUAAACUUGAUCAUGAAUCUCCAUUACUUGAAAAUAUUUCUGAGUAUCGUUCAUUAUUUGGUGCUCUUCAAUAUCCUACAUGGACAAGACCAGAUCUCAAUUUUUCAGUCAACCUUGUAUGCCAAUUCAUGCACAACCAGAAUUUCACAUUUCCAUGCAGUUAAGUGAAUCCUAAGGUACCUUAAGGGUUCUAUUGAUCUUGGUUUAUGGUUCUCCUCCAAGUGUUCCACCACUGCCACCAUCACAACUUUCUCAGAUGCUGAUUGGGCCAGCUGUGCUCUAGAUAGAAGAUCAACUGGAGGUUAUUGUGUUUUUCUGGGAAAUUCAUUGAUUUGUUGGAGUGCUAAGAAGCAACCAACUGUAGCACGAUAUUCCACAAAGGCAGAGAACAUAUCUCUUGCCAACAUUACGUUUGAGAUUACCUAGAUAUGCAAAGUGUUGGUUGAUAUUGGCCAUUGCUUGCCUAGUUCUCCUCAACUAUGGUGUGACAACAUUUCUGCCAUAUCCCUUGCCAAGAACCCUAUUUUCCAUGCUUGGACAAAGCAUGUGGAAAUAGACUAUCAUUACAUUCAGGAAAAAGUCUUGGCAAAACAGAUUUAUGUGCAUUUUAUUUGUACUCAAGAUCAGGGGGCUGACAUUUGUACCAAGUCUCUUUCCAAGUCAAGAUUCAUGUUCCUCCGUGACAAACUUCAACUUUGAGUCCCUCAGUUUCGUUUGAAGGGGGGUAUAAAGGGUAAUAUUGUAACUACACCAUUAGAGAUAUUACUUAAUAGUUAAGAAAUCUGUUAGUUUGUUGUAUUUGUUUUCCUUAGUAGUUACAAGAUACUUGUAUAUAAAUACUAAAAGUGUAACAUUAUUCCCUUAUGAAAUGAAAUCAUAUUUUAUCAAAUACUAGCACUUCAAUUCUUGAGUAGCAAAAAGUUAGGCUACAUCUAGCCCCAUAUAGAGCCAAAAAACUUGUCAAAACAAAGUGACUACUGAAUCACAAAUGCGCGUAUUCAUAGAAUUUAUUACAAAUCACUAUCAGCUCAUGAACCAAUUUCUUGAGGUAGUACAUCACCAAGGGGGACUGAAUCAUCAUCAUCAAGUACUUUAUUUAAAAUACGGGUCAGUUUUCUCAAAUUUUCUGAAGAAUACUAAAGCUUUUCAAUUUUGGUUGCGAUUCCUUAAUAGAAUACUGAUUCUUAAUCACAUUUAUGAUAAAAAACAAUGGAGUGCCUUCUAGCAGUUUUACGCACCUUGAGAGAAUGGCUUGGCUUCCCAGUGAGUGCCAUAAAAAAGGUGGUCUUUCCACAGCCCGAAGGGCGAAGGAAUAAGUUCAUCCUGCAAUGAUAAGAACCCAGAUUUGUUUGGUUUUUUUUUUUUUUUUUUUUUUACCAGAAAUUACAGGAAAACUAAAAAAAAAUUGGAAACAAAUUUAUGUCAAAGAUUAGGGAAUCUGCAAAUUGCUACCAGUCCAUGAUUUUGUGGAAGAAAGCCUUGACUUGGCUCAGAAAAUAGACCCACCAGGUAUUACAUAUGGAGGAAGGAGGAGGAGGAGAGAAGCCUUUGAUACGGUUGCGGCAGAGAAGAGGGGCGACGUUGGAAGAGGGGAAAUUGGUGGAGUAGGUGGAAUUGAAGAGGCGGUCGAGGAGGGGUUUGGAAGAUGAGGUGAGUGUUGUGCUAGGAUAGCACCAAACCCGUUGGAACCAACUCAAGUUAACCCACAAGAAAUUUAUCAAAUGAAAAUGCAAGAACAAAAUAUUAAAGACACCAAGAUUUUAACGAGGUUCCUCAACAGUCAGUGUAACUGGAGUACGUCCUCGGAGCAGUAGGAGCUCACCCAAAAAACCACUAUCAACCAAAUGGGAGUUUACAAAGUGUUGGCAAUCUCACAACCCAUAAGCCCAAUACACCCAAUAGCUCUCACACACCAAAGAAACAAAUAGAGAAAGAAAUAUAAUGAAUAAUUUCUUCUCUACACAUAUAGCUCAAAGCUAUUACAACAACAACUACUUUGGUGGAUGAUUACUAACCAAAAUGAAGCAUCAACUUCUUCUUUCUUUUGGGCUCUCUACAACUCUCCUUGCUCUCUCAAAGAUGGACUACUAAAAACUGAAAAAUGGUGCACCCUUCCUCUUCUUUUCUUCUCCGAAACCAAACAUAUUAUGGCUUUGAAAAAGCCAUAAAACAAGCCACAUUUCAAUCCAUAAAACAAGGAAACAUUAGACAAGUUCCAUGUUUUCCUCCCCAAAAAAAGGAAGGAUGUUGUCCACCUUCUUUUUUUUUCUUUUGAAUUGUAUUGUUGUCCACUUGGCCACUUGGCCAAUUAUUCAACAGUGAGGAAUGAGAGGUGCGGCAAGGAAGAUAGAGAAUUUUUCUCCAUGCAUUUUCUCUAUGCGUCUUCUCUCUAAUGGAUCUUCUCAGAUGCCUUGUCGUUUAUUGGUUGAUUGGAAAAAUUGUUGUAUUAUUCUCUCUUCCAUGCAUAUUCUGUUUUCUCACAUUUGUUGCAAAAGAAAUCAGGUGGUGGUAUGUUUGGCAAACUAUGGUGUUGAUCAUAUUGGGGUUCAAUGGUGAGAUUCUUGUCCAUUGUGUCGAGUUAUGGGUUUUGCUAUAAUCUUAUAGGAAUUCCAAAUUUUCGUUUCUCUUAGGAGUUGUCUUAAUUGUUUUUUGAUUCUAAUAGUUUUUUACUUCUUGUUAGGAUAUCGUUUCAUGUCCCCUCUAGCUUAUUGUAUAUUUAUUUUUUUCUUUAAUAUAUUCACAAUAAUUCUACGAUAGCAAUAUUGGAGUGGAAGUGAUAUUGUUCUUUUAAUAAAAAGAAAUAGGAGUGAUAAGUAUGAUAGGUUUCUGGUAGAAGUUGAAUGGCUUCAAUCUAAUUAUGCUUGUAAAAUUUUUGGUGAAAAUUAUGUUUGUAAUUUGCAUAUUGAAGAGCUAAUUAAUUUGCAGAGGAAAAUUUUCCCCAUGGAAAACCAGAUACAAAAUUUUGAAAUUUUUGUGGGAGAAAGAAAUGAAGGAGAAGUAAAGGGCCAUCGUUUGAUGUUCCAUGGCUAUCGAAGAGCAUGGACAACAACAACAACAACAAAUACUUAUCUCAUUAAGUGACUUCGGUUGUAUGAAUCUUAAAACGUCACUACGCUCGAUUUUGCGUCAAAUUUUCCGUUAGCUCCAACUUCUCCAUGUCUUUUCUUAAAGUCAAUAUUCCAAGUCUUCAUAGGUCUUUCCCUACUCAUUUUGCCCUAUGAUAAAAGAAAAUAAAUCAAGGUGUAUGGAGGAAGAAAUUAGAGAAAAUUAAAGACAAAUAUGAAUUAUGUUUUCUUUUCGUUGACGUAAAAAAAAUAAGAGUAAAUUACAUUUUCUCCCUUGGAUUUGAGUACAAUUGCAACCUCAUACAAUAUCUUUAAAAUAUUUCAAUUUUAUACACAAACUUUUAUUUUGUUGUAAUUUCAUACAUCAUUUAGUUAAAUCGUUAAUUUGACUGUUUUGUGAUGACGUAACAAAUAUAUGACCCACAUAUUUGAUGAAGUGCCAUAAAAAAAUUUGAUUAUCAAAAAUCAAUUUAAAAAAAAUAGCCCACACGCCAAUCUUCCCCCACACCACUACCCCAUUACUCCCUACUACCAACUUAGCCCACACGUCACAUGCUGAUUACAACCCACUCGUGCCUCUUCCCGUCCCCAUGUCCCUCCAUCAUAUUAAAGGACUAUAUUUGCUUGCAGGUGACUCUGCCACCAUAUCCAUCCUCGAUUUCGCAGCCCGAUUCAGUAAAAUGUACGCGGUAUCCCAUUUGUUACUAUUUUGUAAAAGGUACACCGUAUCCCAUUUGUAACUAUCUUUCUUACCACUGUUUAUCUCACAAUCGUCUUUCAUAUAUCUACUCCGUCAGUCGGUGUGUGGAGCCGCCUUUCAUAUAUCUACUCCGUCAGUCGGUAUGUGGAGCGAUCUUCUUUUGCAGAGGCUGUGAGUGAUCCUAAUUGGCGCCGUGUCAUGGACGAGGAACUUGGUGCUUUACAUGCCAACCGUACUUGGACCUUGACAACAAGCCCCCCCCCCCCCCCCCCGGGGGCGGCCGCGGCAGGGGCAAAGUUCAUAUUGCUUGUAAGUGGGUGUACAAAGGUUAAGCGUAGUUUUGAUGGUUCCAUUGAACGCUACAAAGUCCGUUUGGUUGCUAAGGGUUUUAUGCAGGCUGAAGGUAUUGGUUACCAUGAUACUUUUUCUCCCAUUGCUAAAAUGAUCACUGUGUGUUGUCUCCUCACCCUUGCCGUUAGUCAUCGUUGGUCCCUUCAUCAGCUAGAUGUUAAUAAUGCUUUCUUGCAUGGUGAUUUAAAUGAGGAAAUUUAUAUGUCCGUUCCCCUUGGUCUUCGGCGUCAAGGGAAGAACCUUGUAUGUUGCCUCCACAAAUCCCUUUAUGGUCUCAAUCAGGCAUCUCGCUAGUGGUUUGCCUAUCUCUUCAAUAAGAUUAAGUCCCACCAUGACUCUCAUUCCUUGUAUUUACUUAAUAAAGGCCCUUAAUUGAUUGCAUGCAAUUAAGACUCCAAUAUGUUUAUUUCCUUAAGGCAUAAUUCAACUAUUCUCUCAUCAUUUCUCGGCAUAAUUCAUUGUCAUUCACAAAAUGGUUUUACAUGAGGAUGUUAACAUUGUAAAAAUAUAUUUGAUUAUUUUUAAUUGAAUUGAAAAGGAUACAAAAGGCCUUUUAUAUAGACUCAUUCUCUUGGAAGAGAAUUAACCUAGCCUACAAUUUAGCUAUACAAAAAAGGAAGAUUUUGUACAAAUCAAUUACAGACUUUGUUUCCUAUUCUAAGCUAAGAUAUCAGGGAUCUUGAUAUCAUUGACUUCUCAACACUCCCCCUCAAGUUGGAGAGUGAACGUCGAGAACUCCCAACUUGCGUAUGAUGGAUAAGAAAGCCUCAUUUCCUAAUGCCUUUGUGAAAACAUCUGCAAGCUGGUUUGAAGAGGGAAUGUAUCUUGUGACAACCGAACCAUCUUGUAUCUUGUCUCGAAUAAAAUGACAAUCAAUCUCUAUAUGUUUAGUUCGUUCAUGAAAAACUGAAUUAGCAGCUAUAUGGAGCGCCGCUUUGUUGUCACAAUGUAGCAAGGCCGGUUUUGGGUGAAGCAAACCUAGAUCCUUCAGAAGAUAUCGAAGCCAUGACAGUUCACAACAAGUUCCAGUCAUGGCUCUAUAUUCGGCCUCUGCUGAUGAUAAAGAAACGGUCUUUUGUCUCUUUGACCUCCAAGAGAUCAACGAAGAACCCAAAAAGACGCAAUAACCUGUAGUUGACCUUCGUGUCGUAGGACAUCCUGCCCAGCUGAAUCACAAUAUGCACUUAAGUUUAAGUUGUUUUGAGAAGAGAAAAACAAACCCUGUCCAGGCGUACUCUUCAAGUAUUUCAGGAUUCGGAGAGCUGCUUCCAUGUGCGGUUGUCGUGGUUCAUGCAUGAAUCGGCUCAACACAUGCACGGGAUAAGUGAUGUCUGGCCUUGUAAUAGUUAAAUAGAUCAAUCGACCAACCAACCUUCUAUACUUUGCCGGAUCUUUAAGCAACUCACCAGUGUUAGAAAGUUUAACAUUCUGCUCCAUAGGAAACUCCACUGGGCGAGCUCCCAAAAUACCACUAUCUUUCAAAAUUUCUAAAGCGUAUUUUCGCUGAGAAAUAAAGAUCCCUUUCUUUGACUGAGAAACCUCUAUUCCCAGAAAGUACUUCAAGUUACCAAGGUCCUUGAUUUUGAAGUGACCAUGAAGAAAUCUUUUAAGAGCAUUAAUUCCUUCAUGAUCAUUGCCAGUGAUCAAAAUAUCGUCAACAUAGAUCAGGAGGGCUAUAAAGGAUUGCCCUUGCUGCCUCGUAAACAAAGAAUAAUCUGCCUUUGAUUGGAUAUAACCAGCGGAUUUAAUUGCUUCUGAAAACUUUGCAAACCAUUGCCGGGACGCUUGUUUCAAGCCGUAGAGGGAUUUAUUAAGGCGACACACGAUAUUCUCCCCCUGUCGCCGAAGACCAGGAGGAAGGGUCAUAUAGAUUUCUUCAUGAAGAUCACCAUGAAGAAAGGCGUUGUGGACAUCAAGUUGGUGGAGAGACCAGUUGCGGGCAGCAGCGAGGGCUAACAAACAACGAACAGUGACCAUCUUAGCAGUAGGGGAGAAGGUAUCGUGAUAAUCAACACCUUCAAGUUGAGUGUAACCCUUGGCUACAAGGCGAGCCUUAUAACGUUCAAUAGAACCAUCAGAACGAUGUUUGAUCUUAUAAACCCAACGACAACCAAUGGGAGUUUUGCCGACAGGGAGAGGAGUGAGUGUCCAAGUAUUAGUGGCCUCCAAAGCACGGAGUUCAGAGUCCAUGGCAGCAUGCCAAUGGGAAUGAAGAGCAGCCUGAGCAUAAGUGUGAGGUUCGACCUGCCGACUGAUAGAAGCAAGGAAAGAUUGUUGUUGAGGUGAGAAACGAUGAUAAGUGAGAAAAUUAGCAAGAGGAUACCUUGUACCGGUGGUAGGACCUGUCGACGAAGAGGAUGAAUCGAUUGGUUGGGUAGAAGGCAAAGUAGGGCAAACAUAAUCACUGAAGUGAGCGGGAGGAGCUGAGCGACGGUCAGAGCGGCGAAGCACGGGUGCAGAGGGCACGGAAGGUGCUGAAGGCACGGGCGCUGGGAGCGCUGAUAUGGCAGGAUCAGGUACAGAGGGAGAUGUAGCAUCAGACGCGGGAGGAAAAGACUCAACAGGUGACACGGGAGAAACAAUGGGUGCGGAAGGAUCAGUGUAGUCAAGAAGGGGUUAAGGUAAGACAGGUCCUGGUUGGUCAUCGGAUGGGGAUUGAUGUUGGUAAGGGAAAAUAUGCUCGUGGAAAAUAACAUCACGGCUUGUAAAAAACUUAUGGGUGGUGAGGUCGUAGAGUUUAUAGGCUUUUUGGCCAACAGGAUACCCUAGAAAAACACACUUAUGAGCACGGGGAGCAAACUUAUGAGAAAUGUGAGUAUUUGUGGCAUAGGCAAGACAUCCAAAGACUCGUAAGUGGGAAUAGGUAGGGGAUGUGGAAUAGAAACGUUCAAAAGGUGUAGUGUUGGAAAGAACUUUGGUAGGGAGACGAUUAAUAAGGUGAACUGCUGUGAGCACACAUUCACCCAAAAAACGAAGUGGGAGGUUGGCUUGAAAACGCAAACUACGGGCUGUUUCAAGGAUGUGACGAUGCUUGCGUUCUACAACCCCAUUUUGUUGGGGCGUAUAAACGCAAGAGUGUUGGUAUAUGACACCGUGUUCUUGGAAAAAAUCACGAAGGGAGAAAAACUCACCUCCAUUGUCCACACGGAUUUGACAAACAAGUGUAUUAAAUUGAGUACGAACAUAAGAGAAAAAAUUCUUAAGGAGGUGUUGGGUCUCAUUUUUGUGAUGCAUAAGAAAGAUCCAUGUGAAACGAGAAUAAUCAUCUACUAUAGUAAAAAAAUAUUUGGCUCCACAAGUAGAGGCAAUUUUAUAAGGACCCCAAAUAUCACAAUGAAUUAGAUCAAAAGGUUUCUUGGUUGAAAUGGUACUAACACCAAAAGGUAAACGACUUUGCUUGGCUAAUGGACAAACAUCGCAAGCAUUAUUAGACUGAAAAGGAAAAUGUAACAUGUUUUUGGACAUAAAAUCUAAUCUAGAUGAUGACAAAUGACCUAAACGUCGAUGCCACAACUCUAUAGGUGAUAGAACGAUAUUGCAGAAACGCCUCGAAGUGCCAUCUUGGACAGGAGCCAAUGCCACCAAAUAGUAGAGUCCUCCUCGUUGCUUACCCAAACCAAUCGUCCUCUUCGUGGUCAGGUCCUGCAAAAUACACCAAGUGGGAAAAAAAGUGAUGGAACAAUUUAAUCCUCCAGUAAUUCGACUCACUGACAUCAAAUCUACAUUAAAAGUAGGCACACACAACACAUCUCGUAGCAAAAAGGUAGAACUCAAAAGUAAAUCUCCAGUUGAUACAAUAGAUGCUUGUUCUCCACUGGGCAAUAAAACUGGCAGCAUAUUAGUAUUUUUCACACUAUGAGUGAGCAGUUUUGGUGAGGAGGUGAUAUGGUCCGUCGCACCACUAUCGAUAAUCCAUCGAUGGAGAUGCGAAGGAUUUUUUGACAAACCUUUGGUAGUGGUGGCAGCAUUGGCUUGUGGGGCUGCAGAUGCAUCUUUGCCAUUCAUAAUACUGAGAAUUUGUUGAAAUUGAGAAUCUGAUAAACCUGACAUCACAGACUGCAUCUCUUGCACAGAAGGUCCUUCAGAGGAAACUAUGUGAGCUGACGAUGAGCCGGUGUCUCGCUUGGAGCGAUUCCCACCACGGGGAUUGGAUUUGUUGGUUUUAUGAAGACGAUGCCCAGGUGGAUAUCCAUGCAACUGAUAGCAAGUAUCAAUAGUGUGGUAAUCUUGAUCGCAGUGCGUACAAUGCAUGGGUUUACGAGUGGAAGAGCCUGAGGACUUGGAAUGGUGGCCCUGGCGAACUGCCAUGGCUGCUGUUGCAGUAGUGGUGCGAGAAAGGCUCAAGGAGCGCUGUUUCUCCUCCUGUGAGAUUGAGGAGUAAGCUUGACGUACAGUAGGCAAGGGAUUCAUCAAGAGGAUUUGUCCUCGAACAACACUAUAUGAAUCAUUGAGUCCCAUAAGGAACUGCAUCAACCUAUUCCUUUCAUUUUGAGCACCACAUGUGCAUGAGGAUGAAUCGCUGUAGGAAGACAACUCGUCCCACAGACUCUUCAACUUGGUAUAGUAGGCUGCAAUAGAAAGUUGAUCUUGAGAAAGACACGAAAUAUCCCGCUGUAAUUGAAAAAUCCGAGGAGCAUUACUUUGGGAGUAGCGCUCUUCCAAUUCGUCCCAAAUCUCAUGAGCACCAGUCAUGUAGAGAAUGCUGUCUGAAAUAUCUGAAUCGAUUGAGUUGAUGAUCCAGGCAACAAUCAUGUCGUUGCAUCUCUUCCAUGCAGCAUGAUCGUUCGGUUGGGUUUUUGCUGGUGGUUGUGGAACAGUGCCGUCAACAAAACCAAUCUUGUUUUUAGCACUCAAGGAAAUCUUCAUGGCUCGGGACCAGGUGGAAUAGUUGUCCCCAUUAAGGGGUUUCGAGACCAGCACCAUAGCUGGGUGGUCUGAAUGAUGAAUGAACAGUGGAUUGGAAGCAUCAGGCUUGCUUUCGCUCGAAGUUCGAUCAUCGGCCAUGGCUAAUGAUCAAUGAAAAAAAACACGCUGCUUGUGAUGAACAGCGGCAAAGAGAAACAACAGCAGAAAAAGAACUAGGGUUUCGGCCUAGCUCUUGAUACCAUGUAAAAAUAUAUUUGAUUAUUUUUAAUUGAAUUGAAAAGGAUACAAAAGGCCUUUUAUACAGACUCAUUCUCUUGGAAGAGAAUUAACCUAGCCUACAAUUUAGCUAUACAAAAAAGGAAGAUUUUGUACAAAUCAAUUACAGACUUUGUUUCCUAUUCUAAGCUAAGAUAUCAGGGAUCUUGAUAUCAUUGACUUCUCAACAAACAUCCCCACUCUUCGAGAAAAGUAUGAUGUGUUUAUUAGUUUCAAAGGUGAGGACACCCGCAAAACUUUUGCUAGCCAUCUUCAUGCUGCCUUACUUCGCAAGAAAAUCGAAACCUACAUAAACUAAAGCCUGACGAGAGGAGACGAAAUUGGAGCCAGCCUACUAGAAGCAAUCGAGAAAUCAAGGCUUUCGGUGAUCAUUUUCUCCAAAAACUAUGCGUCUUCCACCUGGUGUUUGAUUGAACUUGUGCAUAUACUCAAAUGCAGAAAGAAAUAUGGCCAGAUGGUUGUCCCCAUUUUUUACGACAUCAGUCCAUCAGAUGUGCAAAAACAAAAGCGGAGUUAUGCAGAUGCAUUUGCUCAACAUGAAAAUCGUAAGGACACCAUGGAUAAGGUGAUCGGUUGGAAAGCUGCUUUGGUGGAAGCAACCGGUUUAUGUGGGUUCGAUUAUUCAAACAAAAAAGGGUAACUAACUUUGUAACUUGUAUCAAUUUCUACUUGUGAUUAUUUCUUUUCAAAUUUUUAUUAAGUAAAAUGAACCUUAUUCAUGGUCAAUACAAAUAUAACACUGAGAAACACAAAUUAACCAUAUUUGACAUAAAAUUCUAAACCAUGACCAAUUCACCAAACUUACACAACUUGAAAAUUCCCUCCAAUACUUCACUAUACUAACGUGUGUAUACCUUACUGAAAACCCCAUCACAAAAACAUCUUUUUUCGAAAAUGAAUCACCACAUCACCAAGCAAACUGUUAUUCAAAUGAAAAAACUAAUUAAUACCUAAUACCAUAACCAUAAACCACACUCAAUAUAAUCAUUAACUAAACCAACACCAUAAAAAAAAUUUAAAAAGAGGGGUCAAAUUAAACACCUUUAAACCACAAAAUGGAAAACAACAAACCAUAUAAUUAGUGAGUGCAGACUUUCCGGCAUUCGGGACACCAAUUAUGCCAACAGACAAUGCCUUUUGGUCCUCCGCCUUCACCAUUUCCUCCUCAUCCCCUGAUUUCUCAUCAUCGGCACGCUCCAAUGCCGCCUCUAGAAGCGCCUUUGCGAUAACCAACUUAAUAAGCAUAAGUUCAAACUUAAUCCACUCCUUAAAUUCAUCCUUAAUAUGUAACGUGAACGCUGAUAAGUAACGUGAACGUUAAUAAACUUUCAGCACAUAAUAAUAAUAAUAAUAAUAAUAAUAAUAAUAAUAAUAAUAAAAAUAAUAAUAAUAAUAAGAAUAAAGGUCAUCGUUGCCUUAUACUUGUACACUUCUAUAACACAAUACACAGCUUAUCCCAGCUGAAGCAGAACUUGUAAUUCAUGCGAACUUUCUCGGUAAGCAAACAAAUGGGUGUGCGAAUUAGCUCAAAUCCAGAACAAUUAACAGUGAAUGAAAAGUGCCAGGAGCUGAAUUGAGCAAAGAAUGCAUGAAACUUUGAGAUUGAACAGGUUGGAAUGGUGGGUUUUACCUUGUUCGCAUACAGAGGGACUAAAUCUCUUUCCUUCAUGAACAAAUCUUGAUCUAUAGUUGAAAGUUUCACUGCUUUCGCUGCUGCUACUAAAUCGGCUUCUACUCAUCCUAAUUCCUUAUUCUCCUAAUAGCAAUCUUGGUUAAAUUGGCCAUAGCACGUAAAGAGGAACAAUAAUGUCGAAGAGAGGGAAUGACACUUGAGCAAAACAAUAUCAGAUGACCAACACGUGGGAAAAUUUGAUAACAGCUGAGCCAAAGGGCAUAUUAGUAAUUCUACUAUGCAAAAAUAAAAAAUAUAAAGGAAAUGAAACAGUGCAAGACAAAAACAUCAAUACACCGAGUUUACUUUUGUUUAUGGUUUUCUUGUGAGACAAGGAUAUUAGAAUUUUUUAUAUCCUUUAAGACCAUCUCCAAUGGUUGGGCUAAAAGCCAAAUAUUUUAGCCCGGAAAAUUUAGUUUUUAGCCUAGAAACAACUUUUUUGCUCUAACCGUUCUAGCCUAAAAUUUUAGCCCGGAAUUAUUAAAGAAUGAACUUAGGCUAUUUUUUUUGUUAAAUUAUAUUUUUUAUAUAAAUAAAUAUGUACAUUAUCGUAAAUUAAUUUUAUGAACAUUUUAAUCUAAAAAAAUUUAAAUUCCGAUAAAUAUUGAAAAAUUUAAAUUCCUAUUUCUGGGCUAAAUUUCGGGGGGAAUCUGGCCUUGGUUUAACAUUUAGCAUUUAGCCCAAAUUUUCCCCUUGGGUUGGAGUGGGUUUGGGGGAAAAUUUUGGGGGGUAGUUUGGCUUUUAGCCCACCAUUGGAGUUGGUCUAAGGGUUAAGAUUUAGAUUUUAUUAGAGUUUUUUAUAUCCUUUAAGAAUUAGAAUUUUACUUUAGUUUUCACUAUAUAUAGUAGUGCUUGUAUUAGUUAGUCAAUAAAUAGUGCUUUGCCGGCAUACUAUUCAACUCAAUGAUGUCGAAGAGAGGGAACGACACUUGAGGAAAGCAAUAUCAGAUGACCAACACGUGGGAAAAAUUGAUUACAGCUGGGCCAAAGGGCAUAUUAGUAAUUCUACUAUGCAAAAAAUAAAAAAUACAGGAAAUGAAACAGUGCAAGGCAAAAACAUCAAUACACUGAGUGAACAGUGUCUUUGAACUGGGUUUACUAGACUAGUUAAAGCAUUACUGGGAACUUUAAUGAAAAACUCUCAACACUGUUCACUUUAACAAAAAACCACAUUUUUACACUAAAAAGUUAAUCCUGGUAGUAUUCACCUUACCCUUUAUUUUGUCGUUUUUGUUAAAACUUAAAGUUUUCAAAUUCUUUUCAUUAAUUUUCCUUACUAUAUAUUGCUUAUCAUUUGUGAUCAUAUUUUGCAUGACGGAGGCUGAUUUCAUUGAGGAAGUUGUGGAAGUUAUAGAUAGUAUUCUAGGGUUUUCAUGAAUAUGUUUUUUUAUUUUUUACAUCUCACAUAGAGGAAUAUAUAUAUACUUAUACAAUCCCCUACCAACUAGGAAGUAGAUAUCCUAAAUAUAUUAGGAUAUCAAUUACAUACUCAAAAUAUCCCUACAUUCCUUAUUCCAAAUACAGACUCACGGCAACACUCCCCCUCAAGUUGGUGCGUAGAUAUCACGUAAGCCCAACUUGUUAAGUGAGUCAUGAAACACUCUUGAUGACACGGCAUGAGUUAACACAUCUGCCAACUGAUCUCCAGACUUCACAAACAGAAUAUCAAUCAAUUUAACAUCCAACUUCUCUUUAAUAAAAUGCCUAUCCACCUCAACAUGUUUUGUACGAUCAUGUUGAACUGGAUUAUUAGCUAUUUCUCUCGCAACUUGAUUAUCACAAUACAGCAACAUAGCUCCAUGUGGUUUAAACACAAUCUCGGUUAAGAGGAUUCUUAGCCAUAACAAUUCACAAAUUCCAUGUGCCAUACCACGGUAUUCAGCCUCUGCAGUGGACCUAGGAACCACAUUCUGCUUUUUACUCCUCCAAGUUACAAGAUUACCUGCAACAAAUGUAAAGUACCCUGAUGUAGAGCGUCUAUCAGUAACAUUUCCAGCCCAAUCAACAUUUGUGUAUCCUUUUACUUCCAAGUGCCCAUGCUUCCUGAAGAUCAACCCUUUUCUAGGCGCAUCUUUCAAAUUACUUAAGAUUCACAUUACUGCAGCCAUGUGAUCCUCACUAGGAGUGCAUGAAUUGACUCACCACACUAACUGCAUAUGCAAUAUCUGGCCUUGUGAGAGACAAGUAAAUCAAUCUUCCUACUAGCCUAUGGUACCUUUCCCUGUUUGCUAGAACUUGGUCAGGAUAAAUUGCUAGAUGAUGAUUCUGAACUAUAGGCGUUUCUGCAGGUUUACAUGCCAACAUUCCAGUCUCAGACAAAAGAUCCAGAACAUACUUCCGCUAUGACAAAUAAAUACUUUCACAACAACGAGCAACUUCAAUUCCUAAGAAGUACUUCAAGCCUCCUAAGUCUUUCAUCUCAAACUCUGAAGAGAGAUGCCCCUGUAACCUCUUCAUCUCCUCGGUAUCAUCACCAGUAACUACCAAGUCGUCCACAUAAAUUAUUAACAAGGUGACCUUUCCUUCCCUUCGUUUGAUAAACAAAGUAUGAUCAGCAUUUCCUUGUCUGUAACCAUAUUUCUUCAUUGCAUCGGUGAAUCUCCCAAACCAUGCCCUCGGCGACUGUUUGAGUCCAUAAAGCGCUUUCCUCAACCUACACACCUUGCCUGUCCUGUUUGACACCUCAAACCUAGGUGGAAGUUCCAUGUAAACCUCUUAUUCCAGGUCUCUAUGUAGAAAGGCAUUUCUUUACAUCAAAUUGCUUCAACGGCCAAUCAAAGUUAGCAGCUAAAGACAAAAGUACACAAAUAGUGUUCAUCUUAGCUACCGGAGCGAAUGUUUCUUGAUAAUCUACCCUGAAAGUCUGUGUGUACCCCUUAGCAACCAACCUUGCUUUGUAUCUGUCAAUGGUUUCGUCUACGUUGUGUUUGAUGGUGAAUACCCAUUUGCAUCCCACUGGUAUUUUCCCUUGGGAUAGCGACUCUAUGCUCCAAGUCAUGUUUUUCUGUAGAGCCUCCAUCUCGACUUCCAUUGCUUUUGUCCACCAAGAAUCUAGCAAAGCUUCUUCCACUCUUGUUGGGAUUUUGAUUCCAUCCAUUGUAUUCACCAUGGCUCGAUACUUAGAAGACAAUCGAUGUGUAGAGACAUAAUUUGCAAUAGCAUAUCGGACUUUUCCAUCAGGAGAAUACCUGUCUAGUGGUUUCCCACAAUUUUGUAUAGAUGGCAACACAUAUGUACUUUCAAUAUUAGUCAAAUCACGAGCUUCAUUAGGUUGAGAUAGACUUACCUCAUGGAUAUCCUCGGGCACAUGGACAGGUACAACCGGAGAGGAGUUAUUUCUUGAAGUGUAUUGGUCGUCCAAACUGUGAACUAAUUGUUGCAAUUCACUGUUGUCUUGAUAUGGUGUUUCUAACCGUGCACUGGGCUGUGCACCAAACUGCUCACCUGCUGCCAUGCCGUCAGGCCCACUCCUAGAUUUGGUCUCGCUGGCUGCUGCACAGCCUUUCAAAGAUGGGGCCUUACUUACACUAAUGGGUUCAGGCCCGUGGAUUUCACCAGAAGGCAGAAGUCGGCCCUGCUGGCAGUCACCGUGGCAAGCAUUCUGUUGGGUUUCACGUGGUUGCCCAGUAGGGAGAUCAAUCCAACUGUAAUCUCAUAUGUAUUUAGCUCCCCCUGAAGGUUAGAGUUGGUGUGAUCAGUGACAAAGAACAUCUCAUGCUCGGAAAACGUAACAUCCAUGGUGACAUAGGUACCCUUUUUGUUGGCCAGUAAAUCCCAAAAAAAUACAUCGAAUUGCACAUGGGUCCAACUUGCUACGUUGAUUUUUGUGGAGAUGUACAUAGGUCACACAUCCAAAAAUACGGGGUAACAACUGAAGGGAAGAGGUUAAUGUCACAUGGUCAACAAGUACCUCCAUAGGGGUGCAGAAAUUAUGUAUUCUGGUGGGCAUUCGAUUCAUCAAAUAAACUGCAUAUUUAACAGAUUCUGCCCAAUAAGAGUGAGGGGCGUGAGCACCAAUGAGAAGUGCUCGAGUGGUUUCCAGAAUAUGUCGAUUUUUGCGUUCAGCGAUCCCAUUGUUGUGGGGUGUGUGGACAAGAAGUCUCUUGAAGAAUGCCAUGAUCUUGGAAAAAUUGAGAGAGUUCAGUACUGAGAUAUUCGCCACCAUUAUCAGAUCGGAGAACCUUAAGAGGAAGAGAGUAUUGAUUUUCAACCAUGUGAUAAAAUUGUUGAAAAAUUUUCCCAACCUUACUUUUAUGUUUUAGAGUAUAAAGCCAUGUCAUUCUGGUGCAAUCAUCAACAAAGAUAAUAAACCAACGAACACCAUGAAUAGUAGCAACUGGAGAAGGUCCCCACACAUCAUAAUGGACUAACUCAAACGACACUAUUCUUUUAUUUAAACUUAAAUGAUAAGAAGUACGGUGGCUUUUUGCCAGAAUGCAAUCCUUACACUGAAAAUCAGAGUUUGAAAUGCCACAAAAUAAAGAUGGAAGUAAUCUUUUUAAAUAACCAAAAGCGGCAUGGCCCAAACGACGAUGCCAUAACCAGAUUGUCUUAUUCUUGUUUGACUGGCUACUGCACACUUGGUUCACUCUGCUUGCAGACACAUCAUCCACAUAGUAUAACCCUCUCCUCUUAGUACCACGCCCAAUUAUCGCCAGAGUCUGGAUAUCCUGAAGUAGGCAAAAAGUGGGAAACAUUAACACAAUACAAUCUAAUUGCUCAGUAACUUGACCAAUAGACAGUAAAUGAUUGGACAAUGACGGAACAAGUAGUGCAUUGUGAAUAGACAAAGAUGGAGUAAGGGAAAUAGAACCAGCUCUCGUGACAUGAGCAAUAUCACCAUUGGUUGUGAUGACAUCCUCUUUAGAAGGUGACGUCGUAUGAUAAAAUAAUGAUGCGUCGUAAGUCAUAUGAUCUGUAGCUCCAGAGUCAAUUAUCCAACCAAUAUCCCUCUUGGUAGACAAUAUUAAAACAAUACUGAUUUUACCUGAGUCUUUCGAGUUUUCAUUCAUUGAAAUCUAGUUGAUGAGAGAUAAUAAUGGACCAGAGUCAUCAACUUUGGAUGUUGCUUCCAAGACCCGGCCUGCUGAUUGGGCUUCUGCCGUGACUAGAUGUGACACAUUGGGCCUCGGUUGGCCUGCUGUGACAGCUGCAAUGCCGCUGCUACCUGCCUUGUCUUGUUGGGCUUUAGGCCCAAUGUGGCCGCCUACAUUUGCUGUCAUCCCCUGUCCAGUAGCUGCCACACGGACCUGACCCGAGGUACGUUUAUUCCCCUUAGCUUUUAAUUCUUUCUUCCUUUCCCAGUACCAUUCUGGGUAACCAUGAAUUUCAAAACAGGUUUCCUCCGUGUCGGGUUCCAUUAUAGUGAUUGCAAUGGAGUUUAUCUUUAUCAAUAUCCUCCUGCGUACGUGAUGACCGAGAGUUUCCAAAGGAUGGUGAACGAUAACUUUGCACUUUAGUUGCCAUAGCCAUAGAAGGUCAUGCCGUGAUGCUCUUUGUUCCCAUCAUAGUGGCCUGCCUCUGAGCUUCGCGUCGUACUAGAUUAAAACAUUCCUCGAUUCCAGGGAUAGGCUUUAUCCUUAGAAUCUCACUUCGUACUUGAUCGAAACCACUGUCUAACCCAGCAAGAAAAUCGUACACCCUAUCCUUCGCAAUUUCCUCUUUACGAGUUCUCAAAUCUGCUCCACAAACCAUACGAAGAGGACGUCUUUUGUCAAGAUCUUGCCAUACACCCUUUAAUUCAGUGAAGUACAGAUUAACUGGGUGACCAUCUUGUCUUGUCCGUGUAGCCUUACAUCGGAGUUCAUAAUAUUGUGACUCAUCAGAACCAUUAUAGAACAUCUGGGUGACACUCUCCCAAAUAUCUUUUGCUGUGGGUAGGAUAAAGAGACCAAGUAGAUGUGGUUCCAUAGUUUUUAAGAACCAUCCUCUCACAAUAGCAUCUUUAGUUGACCACUUCUCUCACAAUAGCAUCUUCAGUUGACCACUUUGCAUAUCCCGGAUCAUCUUCCUCGACCAUCGGAAUUUUCCCUGUUAGAUACCCUAGCUUGCCGAGCCCUGAAGCAUGAACCUCCAUCAUCUUCGACCAUACUUUAAAGUUCGAGUCACUCAACCGAUACCUUAAAGGAAUGGCAUUGAUGUUGGUAGAUUCGCCUUGGUUGGACACGGUAUGCACGGGAAUCAAGCUUGCCUUAUGUUCUUCAGCCAUCACACAACUUUUUAGAAUGGGUUUUAAUUAGAUUUUCGCAGGCUUUGAUGUUUACAAAGGCUGCAAUUCAAUUUGGUUGUUUCUAACACAGUCUGAGAUUCAAACCAUGAGAGAGUUUUACUGGGUUUUUGUGAUUGUCAAAGGCAGGCCGAACCUGCUCUUGAUACCAAGAUAGUAUUCUAGGGUUUUCAUGAAUAUGUUUUUUUCUUUUUUUCAUCUCACAUAGAGGAAUAUAUAUAUACUUAUACAAUCCCCUACCAUCUAGGAAGUAAAUAUCCUAAAUAUAUUAGGAUAUCAAUUACAUACUCAAAAUAUCCCUACAUUCCUUAUUCAAAAUAUAGACUCACGGCAACAAUUAUUUCAACGAAAUUGAAACGUGAAACCUCAUAUGAUUUAAAGGGCAUGGUUGGAAUUGAAACGUGAAACCUCAUAUUAUUUCAAGAAUGACGCUUUUCGGCCCCUUCAACUUCGUGCUUUCAAGAAUAAAUCUCCUAGAGAAGGAUAAACAGGGUUGUCAGAAAGGGUGGUAGGUUAUGCUGGAGGCAUUCCACCUGCUCUUGAAAUUUUGGGUUCCUUAUUCCUUCCAUGUGAGAACGAACAAGAGUGGGAAGAUGUAUUGAGCACGCUGAAAAAAUUUGCCCGCAAGGAGAUUCGGGAUGGGUUCAAAAUAAGCUAUGAUCGGUUAGAUGAAAAUGAGCAGGAGAUAUUUCUUGAUAUAGCAUGCUUUUACAAAGGGAAUCAUAUUCAAGAUGUAAAAAAGAUGGUAGAUUUUGGUCAAAUGCGUGGUGGAAAGAGGGAAGAUAAUGGCCAAACGCAUGGUGGAUCAAGUGCAGCACAUGGAAUUAGAGUUCUCUAUGAUGCGUCUCUCAUAUCGAUUGAUUUAGAAAGGGAAACCAUAGAGAUGCAUUAUUUGGUACAAGAAAUGGGUUGGGCAAUUGUUCGCGAACAAUGUAUUAUAGAACCCGGAAAUUGCAGUAGGUUGUUCAUUGCUGAGAAUAUCUAUCAUUUAUUGAAAAAUAAAGAGAUAAAAAAAAUACCGUGUACUUGUGUUGACCCUAGAAACUACAAAGCCUACGUGGCGCGCAGGCCGAGUAAUCUAUAAGCUAACUACGUCCUUCGGUGAAUGCGGGGCGUGCCAACUCGUCGGCCGAGCUCGGCCGAGGAGUAAAUUUGUUGAUGUUGCGUUGGAUCGCGCUACUGACUUCUGCGUCUUGCGAUUGCGGCCGAGAAAGGAACACGUCUCGGCCUCUUGGGCUCUCGAACCUGAAGACAAGGUUACUAUUCUUACGAAGUUCAAUAUCAAAUUCGGCUUUCAAUGUGCCGAAUGUAAUAACUGUAACACCUCACUUUGCCGAGAAGGUUGAUGAGAUGACCUCGACCAAUAAGGAUUUAGAAACCCUUCUCGACCGAGACUUGGAUAGGUAAUUAAUCGUUCUCGCCGCAGUGCUGUUGAUGCCAACGGAAGGUACUGCGAGACCGACUGACUCUAUGGUGACAGAGCUAUCUAUGUCGACUUAAGAUAUCACCGGUUGCUUCCACAGUGCUGUUGAUGCCAACGGAAGAUGUGUCAGCGAAAAAGGAAAAAGAAAAAUCACAAGUUGUGAGAAUUUGCACAGGGCAAUUUUGUAUUCAUUUGCAGGGCUUUGAAUGAUGUGCAACCUCUUCUAUUUAUAGCAAUGGCCCCCCCCAAGGUCGAGUUAAAAACCUACUCGGACUAGGUUUUCUUCCCCUGAUCAGCAUCAACUCGACCAGUCCUACCUUCACUAGGACUGUGAACUUAGUCCUUUAACUGAGCCGGAUUCGUUUCCGGGUUCUGCCGAGACUCCUUAUUGCACUAGGAUUCGACCUCUUGCGUUAUGACCUAGCCGACCUAGGUUUGGAGGCCCACGUACUGAACGAUCCAUGGUAUUCUUGUCGCAAGGCCUUCCGGGCCGAGAAUGACCCUACACUCGGCCCAAAACUGUUAUUUUGGGCCCAAACAUUGCCCCCUCGCUUCUGAGGUCCUCGGCCUGAAUUCUUUGGCCGAGUUUCGGCCUUGAAGAAGCGAAUCUACCACUCAGAACCCUAAUGCCCAAGUUCCAAGGUGCACUUAUUGAACAUGAUUGCACGAUCUUGAUUCUGUUAACCGAACUCGCCACGUGGCGUCCUCUAACACGACCAAUCCCAAUAAUGACGUCCAAGGCGUGCGGCUGCCUGAACCGUCUUGCCAUUAUGACCACUAUCUCAAUCCGCGAGCCACUUCCUCAAGUCGUGAGCCCACUUGUCAUCGUGCAGGCGUCGAAACGUCUUCCGCCAUUAAUUUCGCCGUCACACGUAAUCGUGCGCCCCCAACAUCUGAGACCUUCGGUCUUUUCAACUGCAUUUCCCAAAUGUUCAUCAUGAUCAUCGAUUCUUUCGGUCGAUUUUGCCCCUUUGUUUUGAAUUUCAAACGGUUACCCUUCCUGCCAAAAGCCUAUAAAUACUGAAAAUCUCUCAUUCGCACUUUACGCUCCCAAAACUUUCUGAAAACUCUUGCUCUUAUUCUCCAGUACAUUUCUUUUUCUAGGUCUUCGUCCUCAAAUCCCCCAACCCAGAAAACCCUUUUCCGCCGUGCUUUCUUCUUACAAUGGCGUCCUUCAUCUCCAAGCUUUCCAGGGAAUGUGACCAGCAUCAGAAGAUUCUUGAUCGGAGCUCGAUCAAGACUAUACGGUUUGAAAGUGACAUGAGCACCGUCCACCAAAUCUUGGGUCCUCUCUUCAAGGCUACAAUACUGCCGACCAUUACUGGCCUUCUCCAGGAGCAGUGCCUAACACCCUUGCUACAAGGGUUUGAAUGGUCGAGAUGGGAUGCGGCGAAACCCCAAGGCUCCUGGCCCUCGACGACCACAUCCUGGGCAGCCUGGGUUGUUCGAAUGGAACGGCUCUUCGGCGAGCAAUGGAAAGCCCUCGGUAUCUACGACGACAUCCUCCUCUCGUCAAUGGAUGUCGUUCACGACAAGGAGCUUAUCCUAGCCGCCUUGUGCUUCUGGUGCUCGGCCACCAACACCCUGGUUCUUCCUCUUGGUCCCAUCGGUCCCACCAUCCUUGAUGUCACCGCCAUUCUGGGGACUUCGGCAACCGGGAUCCCUAUCGACGCGGCCCUCUCUGGGCACCCGUCUAAUAUUGACCUGAAGACGCUUUUUGAUCGACGAGCCUUCGAGGCCUUGAACCGUGACGGUCAAAUCCCGUCGAAAGAAGACAUCCAGAAGCUCCACAAGAACUUCUUUAAUUACAAUACCCUCUAUCUUCACUUCGCCGGCCGAUGAGAGGAGGACCUACGAGAGGGAGAGCAUGAAGUCUUCCUCUUUUAUUGGUACAACAAGUACAUUUGUUGUACCAAGUCAAACAAAUGCUUGGUCGAGAAUAUGCCGGUAGCCGAGGCCCUGGCCAGUGGUCACGUCCUGGCACUGAGCUCCAACAUUCUCGCCCAUCUCUUCCGCUGCCUGGCCGAGGCGACCCUCCACAAAAUCGAUCCACACCAGAAUGGUCCCCUCUGGGUCUUCCAACUCUGGUUACAAGUUUACUUCGCCUCCCUUCGGCCGACCAUAGCUGACUUCUCACCAACGGAGGCGCUUGGGCCUCAGCUGGCCUCUCGACCGACACCUCCCCAUCAACCCGAAGAGGUAUUUCGGUACCUCUUCGCUCUCGACGACUUCUCCAACGACGAGUUCCUGAUAUGUCGUCGUCGAGACUAUCCUUCCUCCAUCAGGCUGCCUACCUCUACGUGGGGCGCGGAGGAGGACGCCGAUCUCCGUCAGACCUGGGGGUCGUUUGUGCUUGCUCGCGACCUCCCCCUCGGCUGCGAUGGGAAACGGUCGGGUUGGGAAGUAUAUCAUCCGAACUUCCUUGCCCGACAGCUCGGCUAUCUUCAGGGCUGCCCCGUCCCCCUUCUCUCCUCCCGGACAGUCCUAAGCCGUGGACGUGAACCUCGUUCUUCGGAGAAGGAAUGUAAAACUGCCGCAAGAGAGUUCCAAGAGUACUGCCAAAAAUUCCGCCUUCGACCGGCCACCCCAGAAACCCAUUGCACUGACACCUUCGGUGAGUGGUGGGAAAAUUACACCCAGGAGUUCUUUGGUGCUCCGGUCGAAUAGGUGCUGAACAAACUCUUCGGUGACCGACCUAAGAAGGCCUCGGCCCCCCAAACUCAAGGUAAUUGUUCAUUUCUCCUCUUUUCCUUCAACCUUGCAUAUUGAUUUGCCUUACUGAAUUCUUUUUAUCUUCUCAGGUAGUCGGCCUUCGAGAAAAACGGAGGCUGUUGCCGCGGCCACGGUCGAGAAAAAAUCGGCCGUGGUUAAAAGGGAUAAGGCUGCUGGUCGGGCCGUGCUGACCAAACGCCCUCGCCAAGAGGCCGAGUCGGUCGUCGAACCUCCACCGCCUGCCAAGCGGGUAAAACAGCUGGCAAAGAAGGGCGCACGGGAGAUCCACGUCAUCUCCAGCCAAACUACAGGGGCGACGACUCCCAGUGUUUCCCCUUUUCCUGCCGUUGUUCAACCCUCGGUCGAGAAACAGCCCGCCCCGGCCGCAGCGACAGUUCGAACGCAGCCUAUCUCUGGGACUGGUACACCAGUUGUGCCUCCCUCCGUCGAGGAAACACUCGCUCCAAAAAAGGUGGUUUCUACGACCGAGGGAACAGCCCCUGGAAAUCCAAAACCCUUGGUCUUCAUUCUGGAAGAGAGUGAGGGGAGCGACGAGGUCCCGUUGGCAGAUCGUCCUCACUUUCGUCGGCAACCUCUCCCAAGGUCUGAGAUUGUGGUUCAAGCCGGCCCCUCCACGGCUGAUCGUGGCAAGCGCCCGAUCGAGGAACCGACAGUGGUGGCCGAACCCCUCGCUCCUUCUCAGGACCAGGAUGUCCCUGCCUCUUCCGAGAUGGCUGCUCCGGUCGGCCCAUCUGCAGCCGACCGUGGCAAACGCCCGCUCGAGGAACCCGAGGCAACGGCGGAAUCGCCCGUUCAUCCCCAAGACCAGGGCUUCCAUAUUCUUCCACAAGAGGUUACCUCGGCCUUCGUAAGUACCUUCGACCAUCUUUCCUUGAUUGCUUUUUUUUUUCUAGAAUUCUAAACGAGGAAAAUACUAAAUGUCAGGUGCCUGUACAUUCUUUUCACCGAUAAUUCUACGCGCCGAAGGGCGUUAUCUACAUUUCUUGGCCGCCUCAGUGGCCAUCAAACGUAGAUAAUCUCCAUCGGCCGCGUGAACUGAGAAGCAAUCUGAGACACUGGGCUAGGCCAUUAAGUUCUUUAAGUUCGAGCAACGAUCCUGGAGACAUGGCCGAGGUCUCCUCUCGGCAGGUUAAAAAAAACACAAAACCUUCUUGCUAUUCUUGUCAUGACUUCUUUUAAACUUAACCUGAUUUGUACGUGCAGGCUUCAUGGGAGGUCGAAUUCAAGCCCUACUCUCCAGCACAACUGCAGAGUCCGGUCAUUCGGCUGCUACAACUGAAGCUGCCGAUCCAAGCGCCCUUACCCAGUUGCGAGAAGUCUUGUCGCUUUCAACAUCGCAAGUACUUGAGCGCAACGGUCUUGAUCUGCUCGGCGUAUGCCUGAACGACCUUGGAGCCGACGGUCGCCUGAGCGGAGAUGCCAUAGUUCGGGCAUCGUCUGCCUUGGAGCGUGUUCGGGAGACAUUUAGUAUCUUCCAGACCGCUCUAAAGGCCGAACAGGACCUGCAAGCCGCCACGGCCAUUCAAGACACCAUCCGUCCGAAAAUCGAUGAUCUUCGUGCAAAAGGGGAAGCGUUAGCCGAGCUUGACCGUCAGAUGGCCGAACUAGCAAAACGUCGGUCGGCCAUUGCCUCCGAGCUUGCUAAAGACUUCGAGUCAGGCGGCAAGGAUCGCCUAACUGAGUAUGCGGCAACCAAAAAACGGGUCGAGCAGCUGAAGCUGGACAAAAAGAAUCGGCAGGCCGAAGUUAUCAUGGCCGACGUGCGGUGGUUGGAAUUGAAGGCCCUGCUCAGCACUCUUCUACCGUCUUCUCCUUGAAUGAUUUUGAAUGUAAACCAAUCGACCUACCCAUUUUGUAAAUGCUUAUCAAUCUUAAUGGACUGGUUUUCUAUUCCCGCAUUUUCCAUGUGACCGGAUAGUAUUUCUUCAAAAACUUCCCAUUGAUUGGUAAUCUGUGAACUACACCGGUUCGGUCUUUAAGAUGAUACGCCCAUUUUCUGUAUACUUUAUGCACAAUGAACGGCCAUUCCCAAUUCGGCGACCACUUGCCGAACCUAGGGUCUUUUAGUCCUACAGGCAACACCGUUUGCCACACUAAUUCACCCUCGCCGAAUGUUUUCUGUCGCACCUUUUGAUUAUAGGCCCGCUCGGCAAUCUGUUUUUGUGCCACCAAUAAGUUAUAAGCGUCAAGUCGCGCUUCUUCCAAAUCUUCUAGUUCCUGUCUCAUGGACUGAUUAUAUUCGGCGCUAAACAAACUACUUUGUUCAAUUAAUCGCAACAAAUUUAUGCUCAACUCGACUGGUAGCACUGCAUCGUGUCCGUAGGUUAAUGCGUACGGGGUUGUCGCAGUCGCCGACCGGGGCGACGUUCGGUAUGCCCACAAUGCUUCGUUCAACUUCAAAUGCCAUAUGCCAGGCCUUUCUUUUAUUAUUUUUUCGAGGAUGCCUAUCAACACUUUAUUACUUGCCUCGGCCUGCCCAUUCGCCUGUGGAUAAUACGGUGUGGACUGUUCCAGCCGAAUUUUCAAAUUUGCCGUGUAUUCUUUAAACCUUUCGGCUGUGAAGAUUGUUCCAUUGUCGGUUAUGAUCGUUUCCGGUACAUCGAACCGGGUCACAAUGUGUUCCUCCACGAAGUCGCAAACCUCUUUAGAUGUUAACUCGGCAUAUGAUUUUGCUUCGACCCACUUAGUAAAGUAAUCAGUUGCGACUAUUAUCCAUGCAUGCUUAGCAGCUCCAGAAGUCGGCGUGAUUUUGCCGAUUACGUCCAUGGCCCAUCCUCUAAACGGCCAUGGCUUAAUGACCGAAUGUAGUGACUCGGCCGGGACCCUUUGUAUAGGCCCAUGGAUUUGGCACUGUACGCAUCCUCGUGCAAACUCGAUACAAUCUUUCAGUAUUCUCGGCCAAAAAUAGCCGUGUUGUCGGAGUAGCCAUCGCAUUUUCCGUCCGGAUUGAUGAGCUCCGCAUACACUUUCAUGAACCUCUGCGAUCGCCCGAGCAUUCUCUUGGGGGCCGAGGCAUAGCAAUAACAAACCAUCUUCACCCUUUCGGUAUAACUCGUUCUGGUACAUGACAUAGUUCGUGGCGUGGACCCGUGUCCUGCGACUAUGUUUCCCGGUAGGAUUGUCAAGGUACUGCAUAAUGGGUGUUCUCCAAUCAUCCGGUAUCACCUCGGUUGUGCAAAUCUCGACAGAGUCCUGCCGAUCUAACAACGAAGGUAAGGACAUAACCCUGGUGCGUAUCACGUCGUCCCGUCGGAGAAUUUGCUGGUUAACCAAGGCCGGGUAUAACUGUCGUAUCACUGGUAUCUCUUGGCCUAGUUUGCCCCCCAGGAGUUAUGCACCGGAGGCAAUUUGAGCCAAUUCAUCCGCGUCGGUAUUAUGACACCGGGAAAUAUGUUGAAAUGUAAUACCGUCGAAGGAUUCGGCCAAAUAGCUGGCGACCAUAUGGUAAGGUGCCAGGGUACAACUCAUGCAACGAGCUCGGAGUCAUCGAGGACGAGGGCGUGGGUUGCCCGCAGGUCAUGGAAAAUUCCAAGGCCGACGAUUAGGGCUUCAUAUUCGGCCUGAUUGUUGGUGCAGUCGAAGUCCAACUUAAGCGAAAAGAACCAGCGAUCGUGAUUCGGGGAUUGAAUAACAAUUCCCAUGCCCGCCGAAGAUGACGUACUUGUUGGAAAUGUGCCCUAAAGCCAAUCAUGUGAUGAUACUUUACGGACAUUUCACAUGUUAAACUAAUCUAGUUUUACAUAUAAAGGGCAUAAAUUAUUGUUUGAGCCGUCUCAUAUAAAUGUUAUAUGCUUAAACGAUAAAGUCCAAGGAAUAUGUGAUUGGGAGAAUGUAAUCUAAUGAAGUUAGAUUCAUGAGACCAUUCUUUCGUAGACACAUCCUAAAUGUUCCUGAUCAUAGGAUUGCCAAUUGGGCGUUGACGGUCCGUUAAGAUCAGUACGUACUAUGUCUUCUCUCAGGGAGAGUGACUAGUCUCGAGUCAUUGGUGUGUGACAUCAAGACAAGUACGUAGGUGCUCAAUAGAGAAUGAGUACACUGAACGUGAUCAACGAAGAGUUCUCAUAUUCCAUGUCACAUAAGAACUCAUGGUUGGGAUAAUGCAAAGUAGUCCUUUGACCUGAGGCAUCACAGUUGUCUUGUGGUUAAGUCCUUGAUCUUUGAUUAUGUCAAAGUCACCCUCUCGGGGUGUCCACGGCAUCGUUGGGGUUAAGCCACUUAGCUAUGGAGACAAGUGAAUGUGCAACAAGGGAUCUCUAACCUUCAAACAGUUGAGGGAGAAUACUCUAUGAUAUGAUUUGGAAUCUCUGGCCAGAGUAUGAAUGAGAUUAGGGAAUGCGUUCCAAAUCACAUUCAAGGAAAUCAUAUAAGCACACGAAUCACAUUGGAUAGUAGACAUGAAUAAAUAAACUAUCAUACCAAACAAUGUGGUCAAGAGUAUUAGAUUAGAGAAAGACCGUAUUGCAUUUGUAAUCCCAAACUGAAUAGGUUCUCUAUCCUCUUCUGAUUAGCUUGGGUAACCAUGAUAUGCUGCUAGGUGUCACUCAUGGUUUGUGGAAGCCCUAAACGUGUGUAAUCACUAAAGGGAGAAUUGAAAAUAGUUUCAAUUCACAAUCGAUGUAAAAUGGUUUUAAUCGCCCACUACCUCGCUAAAAGGAACCUAAUGGAUCGCACACCAUAAAAGGUGGAGAUUGAAGAUUAAACGGAAAUGAGUAAGAAUGAUUAAAUGGUUUAAUCAUUUAUUUAUGGCAAGGAUUCAUUAAUAUGUUAAUUAAUCAAACGAAUAAGUUUGUUAAAGACUUCGGGAUAGUUUUGGACCUUAAGGCCCAAUGGGCUUCGAACGUCAAGCCCAUUAACUUAAGUUGUAUGACAAUUUAAUGAAUGAAGAUUCAUUAAAGCCCAAAAGCCCAAAAUCCCCUAAAUGGCCGGCCAUAGUGUGAUGAAUUAGGGUUUUGGUUAUUUAGGUCACUUAAAGAAGUGACUAUAAAAAUGACUUUAUAACUAAAUAUUCAUUAAGUGAUUAAGGGUUUAUUUUGGGGAAAAUUGGUGAGAAUUGUCUCUCCAUUUUCUCUCUAAAGAGGCCAACACCUUGGAGGGUACAUCUAGCAAUCCUACUACUCCAAGGUCACUCAUUUCUUCUACAAUCAAACCUUGGUGAAGAGACUUAGAGGUUCCCUAUUUUGGGAACUUGGAGAAAACCUAUUUUUCCAUCCAAAUCCAUGGAUCUAAGAAGCAAGGAAUGAAGGCCCUAUCUCUUUGGGUGAUUAGCCUUUGCUUAUGCAAAGAGGAAUCUACAAAGGUAAUAAUUUCAACUCACUUUGUUUUGAGUUGAUUAUUGGUUCACCAAUCUACUAGGCUUUGAAUUUCAUGGUAAUGUUUUGUUUUUGAGUGCAUGCAAGCAUGAUUCCGCCUUUAAUUGUUAAUUGCAUGCUAUAUGAUGUUGCUCAAAUGAACAUGUUUUUCAAAAUAAAUCCUUCAAGUGGUAUCAGAGCCUAGGUCUAGUAGUUGGUGAAUCCUUUUGGGUUUUGUAGUUCAUAAGUUUAUGAUUUAAAAGUUGUAAUUGUUACAAGCUUUAUUCUUGCUUCUUUGAAUGUAAAUUUUGUUUGAAAAUUUGCCAUCUCAAAUGUUGUAGAUGUAGUUCAUAUGAGCAUGAAUAUUGGAGCUAAAAUUUGGUGUCAUGAUUUUGGGGAUUUUCGGCCAAAUCCAAAGGGUGAUUUUUUGGGUUCAUGUUUGUCUUGUUAAAAUGGUUUUAAGGUGACUUUUGGAACCCCUAAGUACCCCUAGGAUGUUAGCCUCAUUUUGAAUGAUAAAAAAUUUGAGUUUUAUUGCAUGAAAACAUUCAUGGAGCUCUUAUGGGUUUUCAUGGAUGUUCUUCAUAUGUUCUUGAUGUUCUUGCCAAGAACACAAAGGUUUGUGUUUUGAUUCAAAGUUUUGAUUUAUUUCAUAAAGUUUAUGAUAUAUGUUUUUCAAAUGAUUUAUCAUGUAUUUAAAGUGUUAAAUAUUUGUAUAAAUGAUGAUGGAAACAUCAAUCAUCAAAACAUAUAUUAUUUUUAUGAAAGUAUUUAAAGUGUUAAAUAUUUGUAUAAAUGAUGAAAGAAAUAUCAAUCAUCAAAAACAUAUAUUAUUUUUAUGAAAGGUGAAAGCACUACUUGAUUGUUUUUGACAAAACUAAUAAAUCAAAAACACCCACCACUCCUUUUUAUCCCUAAAAACCGGCCACCCUAAUAAAAUAGGGUAUUUUUGGGGCUUUUAUGCAAUUACAUAAAGUUUUUUGAUACUUUUGUGUAUUUGUACUUUGACCCGAAAGUUUACGUUUUGACGUUAAGGCCUAAAAACGCUAAAGGACAAAUUGUUUUGCUCCUUUAAUGAAGUUUUUGAAUUUAUUUAAAUUUUGGGUUCUAGUUGUAUUUACAUGAAGUAGUGACUUUUGUGUUUUUACAAAGUGACCCCAAAAGUUUAUGUUUUCGCAAUAUGGCCCAAAAAGUUGUGGUUAUUGCAUGAUGGCCCAAAUAGGAUGAGAACAAAAUUGUUUUGUCUCUUUAAAUGAGAAUUGGAUUUUCAUUUUGUUUAGCUCCACUUAAAUCAAUUUUAUGGAUACAAAAACCAAAUGAAAAUGUUGCAUUCAAUUAAUUAGUUAAAGCGUUAAUUAAUUAAAGGAUGAUUAUGAACCUAAGCCUAAUAUAAUUGAGCUAUGUGAAAGGCGUUUCAAAUUUGUUUGAACCAUGGGAAUGUGUGUAGAUUAUAUUUUGGUUGUAAUUUGAUUUGAUCAAAUGUUGUAAAAGGGCAUAAGUCCUUCUUUACUUUAAGGUAAUUUGUUUUAUGCAAAUGUUGUAAUGAGCAUAAGCUCAUCCUUUACUUUGAAGUAUUUCUUUCUUGCUUUAUUAUAUGAUAUGCAUGAAAAUGAAGUAAUUGGGUCCAACGCCCCUAAGACAACACGCCUUAAUGUGAUUAAACGCGUAACUAAAAUCAAUCUCCAUCCCUAGACCGAGAUUCAACACAAGGCUCGUGUUGAAUCUAAACAAAGGUUCAUAGUCAUCCUAAGGCCCUAAGGCAACUAUAUAGUCCAUCAAAUGAAUGCAAACCUUAUGUUAGUAGUAACAUAUACUCUUGCUUUAAAAAUCGUUUUAAAAGCAUAGUGGGAGUAUUAUGUACAACUAAAACAAUCAUAUGGACCAAUAGUUGUAAUAGGACCAAAAUUGUUUUAAUAGAGAUUAAAAUGUAUAUUGAUAUGUGAUGAGACCUAAAACCCUCAACCAAACCAAUAUUAAGUUAUAAGCGUGAGAGUGCUUUGAACACUCUUUCGUGGCCUUCCACCGUGGUAGGCUUCAAUCGUGUGUGACUCAUACACCGUAUUCGUCCAAUUCUGGGGUUGCAAAGUAUGUGCUUACAUUCAGGAGAAGCCUAUACACAUAUGAUGAAGUGAAAGGUAGGCAACUAGUGUGGCCAAUAUGGAGUUCUUCUGAGGCCAUUCUUGAACCCCUACUUGAACUAGCAUGGUGGGAAUGACUUAACUAAGUGCAAUGGUGCCAAUAUGGAGUUCUUCUGAGGCAUCAGUCUCUAGAGGCCAAAUGAGAUGGGUACUUGCAUUAGUUGCAAAUGAGUAAGCGUACUCUCUCAUUAUUAUUGUUGCUAGCCAAUAUGGAGUUCUUCUGAGGUGGGCUUGGUAAUAGUGAGUCUCCCAUAACCUACUAGGAGUUUCAUCCAAAACUCUCGAAUUCCAAUGAGGGAUAUGGAAUUUGCCAAAAAUAGUGGGUGGUGCUAUUUUGAUUUAAAGACCCGAAUCAAAUGGCUUAAAAUCAAUCAAUUUAUAUUCGUUAUGUAUUUGAUUACCAAUAUAUUUGCAAACGCUAUCCAACACUUGACAAAUAAAAGCCGAACGUUUAGUUUACGGACUUGGUACUACAAAACCAUAGAUUGUCUUUAAUGGCUUGUAAAAGUACCAAAGUAAGUCUCAUCCUCACAAUCUUCCUAUUGAUAAUGUAUCAUUAGAAGAAUAUGUUAGAAAAGGUCUAUCAUAAAGAGGACAACACUUUUAAUGUCAUAAUUCUUCAAUUACAAAUUGUUGUAUGAAGAAAUAGGAGUUGCUUUGAACAACCCUUAAUCAAUGCAAACACUUAGUGCUUGUUUCUUUGUUACAUGAACAAGGAACUUGAGAAGAAAGCACAAAGGCAUGGACACUUUAUGUGCCAUGAUUCUUCACUUACAAUUUGUUGUGUGAAGAAAUAAGAGUUGCCUUGUACAACUCUUUAAAGUUUGUAAUUAUGUUUAGAACAUAAUGGUUGGAUGACAAAAAUAGUCCAUUAACAUGGAUUUAUAAUGAUUUUGAAUCAUUAAGUGUUGAAGUGAUAAAACCACUUAAUGAGACGGAAACUAGGCAAGGACUUCACCUUUGUUUCCCUAUCCUAAUGGUUCACUAAGUUUAUUGUAAACUAUAUAGUGAACAAUAACCACAUGCUCUCCAAAAUGUUUGAUGUGUAUAACACAAUUGAAAAAGGUUUCAAGAGAGAUAGUGGGAGUUUAGGGACCAUGACUAAUGUAGUCAAAGGUGAAAGUCAAAUAAAGAAGAUAAAUAACUCCAAGGGAACAAACUUUCUUUAUGAAAGGAUGGACAUCGGAAGGGGUAUUUGCAAGAAAUGUCUUGCAAGUGUCAAGAACACACCUUUCGAAGGUGUUGUAAAUUGUUCUUGAAUAGUUCAAAACAGUUGGUUCUUCUACUUGAAUGUAUGAUUCCGUAUUAGUAACUAUGUUUUACAAAUCGUUGUAAAAGUGUGACUAAUAAGAAGUAGAAGAUAUAUGAGAGAAGAAAAGGUGCUUCACAUACGGAACGUGAAUAAGAUAUAGAUCUCUGCGAAAGCAGAUAGUACUUACUUCCUCAUAUGAACUACCAAAGAAAUUGGAUAUAUAGUAAUCUAAUUGAUUGUCUCUAUAGUAGAGAUGAUAUGGUAGUGUUAACUGUUUAGAAUAUAAUGAUGCUUAAAACCCAAAAGGUUGCAAGGUAGUGACUAAUCCCAACUAAAUUGUGAUACCUCUAAAACAUAAGUUACGAGUUGGUGAAAACAAGGAUGCUUUGGAUCGUUAGAUCCGGAUCCAAUACCUUCUUGUUAAAAUUGUAUAGAGGCGAAAUGUUCGAAUCUUUAUUCUUUUGGAAAGAAGAAAGAAUCACAAAGUUGUUGAGGUUAAUUCACUUAGAUGUUAGUGGCACUUGUCCACAACAUAAUACUACUCAUGUUAUAUGACAUUCACCGAAGAUCACUCUCGGUUGGACUAUAGUUUAUUUUGAAUAAACACAAGUCCGAAUACUUUGCAAAAGGUUUCAAAGAAUUCAAGAAAUGUAAAUAGAUGAGUAAGAUAUCUAAAGUAUUUACCUCCUUAGAUUUGAUCCAAGGAAAGGUAACACUUUAGAUGAGUUUCCUUGAAAGAUAUCAAGGAAAAUAGCAUCAUAAGAUAAUGUAUUUCUCCAUUAGGAGAAGAACGAACUCAAAUAAGAUUUAGUUCGUUAGAUGUUAUCUAUUACCCAUAUAUAGGAUAUAUACUUCUAAAACAAUAUGAUUGUCAAUUAGAAGAUCUUCCAAAAUUUUCAUAACUCCAUAAGAUGUAGUUGGAAAGAAAGACAAAUCUUAAGCAUGUUAAAGAUUUGGGGUUGUGUGGUAACAAGCAAUAUUUGUUUGAUAACAAUCUUGUAGGAUAUCCUUAAAUUAACUUUUGGAUAUCGCUUCUAUAAACCAACUAACAAAUGUUGUUUUGUUGGGUAGUUCAUUGUAAUUCUACAAUGUGAUUUGCCUAAAAGCAAAUGAACGAGAGAUAGAACUCGAAGAAUGGGUUCUUUGAGAGACAAGAAAGUAAUCAACAUAUAAAAACCUAGUUCCUAUACCUCAAGCUCCAAGGUAGUCGAUAAGGAUUUAUAAACCGUCUCAGUUGAAUGGUUUUGAACUUUAUGACUAUGUCAUAGAGUUGCACCUCUUAAUUCGAAAGAAGUAAGAAUGAAAAUCCUUAUGACUACACUGAGUGCAUAUACGAUAUAUACUCAAGGAAAUGGUAAAGUACCAUUUGACUCGAAAUAAUGAAACCUUCAUAGCUAAUUGGUAGCUUAAGGUGACUACAAUCAAAGAAAAUGGUUGACUUUGAAGAAACCAUCUUUGAGAUAGUCUUAGUUUCAAUUAAUUCGAAGAUUGCUAGCUACAACUAAAUGGUGAUUCAAUAGUCUUGAUAAUAUAUGUCUAAAACUAUGAAUCACAAGACAUGUAAGUUGUAGAGAUCCAUCCAUCAUGGAUCUUAGCAAGUUAGUGGGAGCUAUUUGCAUUUUAUGAGAAAAAGGAUCAAAUCGUUUGAUUUCUCAUAAAGAAGUAAAUGAAUCUUUUGUUUACUAGUUUUACAAAAGAUUAGUGGGAGUUAAUCAUGUUCCUAAAAAUUUAAAUAUAUAUGAUAUAUUUAUUUUGGAAAUGAAAAUAAUACUUCUUCGUUAAAGUUAUGACUUUAAUACAUUAUAUGAAGAUAGAAUGUAUAUGGGAGAUAUAGUCUAUGUACAUGGGAUGGAAAUCUAUAAUGAUAUAUUUCAUGAUAUAAUUGGAUUAUAUCAAUCCCUAAUAAUAGACAAUGGAUGCUAGGAAGUUUCUCAUAUGAUGAUAAACUUCAAUAAGAAGGACGAUUCUAGUGAGACUAGCAAGUUGCCCUUCUCAAAGGGAACGUACCCUUUGACUCCCAAAGAAAUAAUGCGUAAAUUGAAUCCUUUAUGCAGACGCAGAAAGGUGAUUUAUGUAUGAAAAACAUUGAUAUGAGUUGUACCUAGAACGGUACAAGAUGAUAUCAGUGCAAGCCCAGGAUCAGAACCAUGGCAACUGUCAAGUGAGUCCUUAAGUAUUUGAGAAAUACUAAAGGAUAAAUUCCUCAAAGAUCGAGGAAGAAUCAAAGUGACGUAAUGGAAGCGUAAAUGUAUUAGAUUAUGAAUCUAAUCCAUCAUUGGAUGUUUCUUCAUUAUGAAUGAAGAGAUAAACAGAUAUCUCUUUAUUAUGACUAAAGAGAUAUUUGGAUGGAAACAUUAAAGUAUGACUUUAGUGUGUUCCAUUAUGAAUGCAAGAUAUAUUGCCAUAUAGAAGUUUACAACAAUGUUGUUUGGAUGGGAAAGUUCAUUUAUGAACUCUCUAUUCGGUUCCAACCAGAAAGUGUAUGACACUAAUGGGGCGAUAGCUCAAGCCUGGGAAUCAAGGUCUCAUCAAGAUCCGAACUCAAAUGAGAGACUGAACCACAUGAUUGAGAAUCAUGUAUAAUGGUGACGUCGUUAUUCUCAAGGUUGCUUCUAUGGAUAACACAUAUAGAUGUCCACUGUCUAGGCCUACUAUUCAGCCAUUUAUGAAAUGACUACAGAAGAGGUAUCAUCAAGAUGACCAAGCUGAUUGGCUCUAGUGCAAGUGGGAGAUUGUUGGAAAUGUGCCCUAAAGCCAAUCAUGUGAUGAUACUUUACGGACAUUUCACAUGUUAAACUAAUCUAGUUUUACAUAUAAAGGGCAUAAAUUAUUGUUUAAGCCGUCUCAUAUAAAUGUUAUAUGCUUAAACGAUAAAGUCCAAGGAAUAUGUGAUUGGGAGAAUGUAAUCUAAUGAAGUUAGAUUCAUGAGACCAUUCUUUCGUAGACACAUCCUAAAUGUUCCUGAUCAUAGGAUUGCCAAUUGGGCGUUGACAGUCCGUUAAGAUCAGUACGUACUAUGUCUUCUCUCAGGGAGAGUGACUAGUCUCGAGUCAUUGGUGUGUGUGACAUCAAGACAAGUACGUAGGUGCUCAAUAGAGAAUGAGUACACUGAACGUGAUCAACGAAGAGUUCUCAUAUUCCAUGUCACAUAAGAACUCAUGGUUGGGAUAAUGCAAAGUAGUCCUUUGACCUGAGGCAUCACAGUUGUCUUGUGGUUAAGUCCUUGAUCUUUGAUUAUGUCAAAGUCACCCCCUCGGGGUGUCCACGGCAUCGUUGGGGUUAAGCCACUUAGCUAUGGAGACAAGUGAAUGUGCAACAAGGGAUCUCUAACCUUCAAACAGUUGAGGGAGAAUACUCUAUGAUAUGAUUUGGAAUCUCUGGCCAGAGUAUGAAUGAGAUUAGGGAAUGCGUUCCAAAUCACAUUCAAGGAAAUCAUAUAAGCACACGAAUCACAUUGGAUAGUAGACAUGAAUAAAUAAACUAUCAUACCAAACAAUGUGGUCAAGAGUAUUAGAUUAGAGAAAGACCGUAUUGCAUUUGUAAUCCCAAACUGAAUAGGUUCUCUAUCCUCUUCUGAUUAGCUUGGGUAACCAUGAUAUGCUGCUAGGUGUCACUCAUGGUUUGUGGAAGCCCUAAACGUGUGUAAUCACUAAAGGGGAGAAUUGAAAAUAGUUUCAAUUCACAAUCGAUGUAAAAUGGUUUUAAUCGCCCACUACCUCGCUAAAAGGAACCUAAUGGAUCGCACACCAUAAAAGGUGGAGAUUGAAGAUUAAACGGAAAUGAGUAAGAAUGAUUAAAUGGUUUAAUCAUUUAUUUAUGGCAAGGAUUCAUUAAUAUGUUAAUUAAUCAAACGAAUAAGUUUGUUAAAGACUUCGGGAUAGUUUUGGACCUUAAGGCCCAAUGGGCUUCGAACGUCAAGCCCAUUAACUUAAGUUGUAUGACAAUUUAAUGAAUGAAGAUUCAUUAAAGCCCAAAAGCCCAAAAUCCCCUAAAUGGCCAGCCAUAGUGUGAUGAAUUAGGGUUUUGGUUAUUUAGGUCACUUAAAGAAGUGACUAUAAAAAUGACUUUAUAACUAAAUAUUCAUUAAGUGAUUAAGGGUUUAUUUUGGGGAAAAUUGGUGAGAAUUGUCUCUCCAUUUUCUCUCUAAAGAGGCCAACACCUUGGAGGGUACAUCUAGCAAUCCUACUACUCCAAGGUCACUCAUUUCUUCUACAAUCAAACCUUGGUGAAGAGACUUAGAGGUUCCCUAUUUGGGAACUUGGAGAAACCUAUUUUUCCAUCCAAAUCCAUGGAUCUAAGAAGCAAGGAAUGAAGGCCCUAUCUCUUUGGGUGAUUAGCCUUUGCUUAUGCAAAGAGGAAUCUACAAAGGUAAUAAUUUCAACUCACUUUGUUUUGAGUUGAUUAUUGGUUCACCAAUCUACUAGGCUUUGAAUUUCAUGGUAAUGUUUUGUUUUUGAGUGCAUGCAAGCAUGAUUCCGCCUUUAAUUGUUAAUUGCAUGCUAUAUGAUGUUGCUCAAAUGAACAUGUUUUUCAAAAUAAAUCCUUCAGUACAAGAGCCGUCAAAGUACAUCGUCCAGUGGUUGUCGCGCGUCUGAACCAUGCCGAUGUCAACGUCGUUGCCCCCAAAACCGUAUGGGGAGGGAUGUUGAGCAAGGAAAUCAGCCAAUGCUUGGCCCUUGACGGCUUUCUGAGCUACAUAUUGCAAGCUAAACUCGGACAGUGCCAUGGUCCAUUCCCAAUGCGGCCUUUUACGAUUGGUCGGGUGAGCAUGUAACGGAUGACUUCGGUCUGGGUAAUAACUUGGGUAACCGAUGGGAGCAUAUAAUGCCGGAGCUUGGAAGUGGCGAAAAACACGGCCAGGCACAGCUUCUCGAUGGCUGGAUAAUUGAUCUCCGGUUGACUGAGAUUGCGGCUGAGAUAAAAAAUAGCCUGUUCUCGUCCGGCGUCGCUGUCUUGUGCAAGGAGGCAGCCGAUGGACUCUUCGGCCGCCGAGAUGUAGAGCUUAAGAGGCUUACCACGCCGAUGAGGAACCAGGACAGGUGGGUUCGUAAGGGAGACUUUGAUUUACGUAAACGCCGCCUGAUGCUCAUUGUUCCACACAAAUUUAUCGGAGUCCUUGAGUCUCAAAAGCGUGGAAAACGCUUUCAUUUUACCUGCGGAGUUGGCAAUAAAUCGACGGAGGAAAUUGAUCUGGGCGAGUAAGGACUGGAGUUGUUUCUUCGUCGUUGGGGGUGGGGCAUUGAUGAUUGCGCGGGCCUUAUUCUCAUCGACUUCAAUCCUAUGGUGAUGCACGAGGAAACCAAGAAAAUUUCCGACCGACACGCCGAAAGCACACUUGGCGGGAUUCAUCUUGAGGUUGUGUCAACGCAUGCGGAGGAAAGCUUGUCGAAAAUCGUCCAGAUGUGUCUGUCGGCGUUUAGAUUUGAUGACAACAUCGUCGAUGUAAACUUCGACGAUGGUUCCAAUUAAAUCAUGGAAAAUGGUAUUCAUCGCCCGUUGGUAUGUGGCGCCGGCAUUCUUGAGGCCGAACGGCAUAACAACCCAUUCGUAAGUCCCGAGUGCCCCCGGGCAACGGAAAGCAGUUUUGUGCACAUCGGCUUCGGCAAUGAAUAUUUGGUAGUAUCCGGCGUGUCCAUCCAUAAAGGAUAAGAUUGCAUGACUCGCCACAGCAUCGAUCAAGAGGUCUGAAAUCGGCAUUGGAUACUCAUCUUUGGGAGUUGCCAGAUUCAGAUUUCUGAAAUCGAUACAGAUGCGUAGGGCACCAUUUUUCUUUAAAACAGGCACGAUAUUUGCCAACCAUUCAACAUAUCGAGCUAUCCGAAUGAACCCGGCUUUCAAAAGCCGAACCAAUUCGUCCUUGAUGCCGAGUUGUACUUCGGUCGAGAAUCGACGAGGUGGCUGACGAAAAGGUUUGCAUCCGGGCUUAAUAUGUAAUUCAUGCUCGACCAGAGUACGCUCUAAGCCGGGCAUUUCAUGAUAGCUCCAAGCAAAACAAUCUUUGAACUCCGUAAGCAAGGCACGAAGCUCGUCCUUCAUUUGUUGGGGAAGUAACGUACUAACAAACAAAGGCCGUGGAUCAUCGGCCGUCCCAACAUUAAUCUCUUCCAGGGGGUCCUUCACUUGGGGCCGAUGAUCUUCGAGUUCGGCCGGGGCGGCUUGAAUUUUAUCAAGAGACAAAACAGGACCAUUAUCUCCUUCGGCAAGGAACUCGACGAGGUUAACGCCCGAAUUUGGUUGUUUGGAUAUAGUAUACCAAUGGGCCAGCAGUCGUUCCAUAGUAGAUGAAACCGCGGCCCUACGUCUUUCCCGAUCGGUGUCAAACAUUAGCUUCGGGGAGGAAAUUAGCUAAUCCGAGUCUCGCCGAAUCCUGCUGGAUAGUCUCGGCGCCAACCUCGAUAGCUUUCUGAACGGAAAUCCGAGUCGACCGUCCCUCUUCAUUGAAGCCUUGCAAAGUAAUGUAGCCGACGUGAUCGUCAUAAUACCGUGCUUGGAUCAUGUUAGCUUCGAAGGGCUGGCUAUCGGCUGGAUGAACAGUGACCGAUUUGCCGUCCCAAAAGACAAGCACUUGGUACAAUGAGGAAGGAAUACAGCUGGUUUGAUGAAUCUAAUCUCGGCCGAGCAGUGCAUUAUACUCGGUUUUGGAAUCAACCACGAAAAAGGCGGUCAUGUGGGUGCGACCGGUAAUAUUCACAGUUAACGGAAGUACACCUUUGGUGUGGGAUUUGUCGCCGACAAAACUACUCAUUGUGAUUCCUGACGGAAUAAGCUCGUCAUUUGAACGGCGUAAGGCUUUCAUGAUGUUCAGAGGCAUGAUAUUGAUGGUAGCUCCACAGUCGACAAAAACUUUGGAAACUGGAUAUCCCUCGAUGUGGGCCGUCACAUACAAUGGCUUUAAAUGGUGAAGCUUGGCCGACGAUGAGUGAGGGAACAAUUCGGCCAAAACGGCCUUUAGACUAUCAUCUUUUGUUGUUGACUCGCCUUCAGCAAUCGAUACAAAAUCAACAUGGCCGGGUUCCUCGGCAACCACAUCUCCAUCAAGGAAAUUUGGUUGAGCCGUGCUUGAUUGAAAAUCGGCAGGUAACACAUGGACCAUACUGAUUUCCAUAUUAUCCAGGACUGACGGGCCCAUCUGGUCAAGACCCUCCUCAUUCGGUUGGUCGGCGACUACGGACUCAGUUGUCGUCAAAGUCGGACAACGAGACUCUUCUGUCCCUUCUUCAAUGACGUCACUCGGCGGAGCUGCUUCGGCGACUUGUUGGUUCUGCGUGACCGCCUCAGGUAAGGUUGAGACUGACAACGUACUUGGGGUCAGGACCUGAACCUGCUCCUGGUAGUGUAGCCGAGCAUCCCUAGUGCCGAGAUAAGCAUCUAGACGGGCAAUACGUGCGAUUUCAUCGGUCGUAAGGCCGAAGAGAGAAACCGCCGAAAAUACUUCAAAGUGAUAUCGUAAAUACUGAAGGUCCUCCAGCGAGAAAGGAAGGUCGACUGCAUUGAUAUCGAUGUACGGGUCGACUUCAAAUCCAAGGACACGAGCUUCUCGUAUGUGCUGGAACCUGGCUUUCAAUCCUGGAUCUGAGGUCUUCUGGAUGAUCCGCUCAGCAUCCGGACAAGUCAGGACCAGAUCAAUGGUGUCCUGGCAUGCCUUCGGCAAACCAUACAGAUCGUUGGCCGAAUGUUUCUUAUGAAAUUCUCGCAUAUACUCCAAAGACUCCCCAAGGAACGGGGGAUGCAAAUUCCGUCGAAUUUUGACUAAAGGUUCUUGUAUAGCUGGCGGGGAUAAUUUGCUUUCGGCCUCUUGCCUGAAAUGUUCAAGGCGUGCCUUCAUUUCCCCUGGUCGAAUGAGGAGUUUGAUCCGUUUAUCAGCUUCUUCAAACAUGGUCUCGACAUCUUGAUCGACCAGUCGUUUCCCCUGAGCCAACUCUGUCAUAAUUGCUGGAGAUGGUCGGUCAUCAUCAGUGGCAACUGUGUCCUUCGGCCGCCACUUAGGGGCCGAAGUUUCUUGGGCUGCUCGUUGGUGAGCCAUGCAAUCUAUCCGUUGAUGUCGGCGUUUCUGAGAUUUGGACAACGCGGUGUAGACGCCCUUCGAAGAAUGGUAUGUAUACCAACGUUGAUCUCUAGGCUCGGGAGGCUUGAAGGUCUUUUGGCUCCGCGAUGAUUCUGAACUGCUAGAAUUACGCUUAUAGUAAUCAUCGUCAUAGAAUGAAGCAUCAAAAUCGAAGCGCCACCUGAUGUUGGCCUUCAUUGGCUACCUUUUGCCGAGUUGCGGCCACAGGUUGCGAAGAGGGCUUCUCCUCUGGUUCACUGUCGACCUUCGCUCUACAUUUCCUGCACAAAACCGUCGUCCCACUGUCUUCAUCGGUGCUAUAAUCCAUCAUAGGUUUGACAAUAGCGGGCCCUGUUAAAGCCGUAGGUGGUUUGUUUGAACGAAAAUCAGCCAUGAACCGUGGCCAAAAAUUCUGAUUCCGCGGGUUGCGUCUCAACCACUUCGGCCUUGCCUUUCCCUUUGUCCUUGGGUAGGUAUGCGUCGACCAUAUUUACUGUUGCCGUGGGGAACGGAUCAGUAUCAGCACUCAUCCUCUUCUCGAGAAACUUCAGUUUGCCAUUAUCAAUCCAGCUUUGGACGUUAUCGCGAAAUACAACGCAAUUGUUUGUCGUAUGUUUGCUCGAAUUGUGGUAUUUGCAAUACACCUUUCCUUUAAGCUCUUCGGCCUUAGGAAUGUUAUGACCAGGCCGAAGCUUAAUGAUUCUUGCUGAUAACAGUUGGUCAAAAAUUACGUCAGCCUUGGUAAUAUCAAAAGUAUAAACCUUUGACGGUUUCAAUGUUCCUUCAGUGGCCGAGCGACUUUUGGCUUCUCUAGAAUCAACCUGAGUCAAUGCCUUGCAAACGUAUGGCUUAUCUAUCACUAUCUCAGCCGCAUCCACACUAACGCAUUCAUCCUCGGUUGAUGCAUAAUUGACAGUAGGGUUCUUGUAAAUCAUUCCCCGAGUUGGAGUCUUCGAAGUCUUUUCCUCGCGGAGCAAAUAAUCAUACUGCUCAACAUGUUGGGCUAAUUCGUACAUAUCCCGAAAAUUUGCCCCCAAGAAUUUCUUUUUGUAUUCGACGUCAAGGCCAUUCAAAGCAAGCCUGACAAAUUCGACUUCGGGUAAAGGCACUCGGCACCAAUUCCUAGCUGAUUUGAUCCUGGUAAGAUAAUCCAUUGGUGACUCAUCAGACGCUUGAGCCAUCCGUGCUAAUGAAGAGACUGACAUCUCCAUCCCCGGCCGAUAAAACUGCUCGUGGAAUUUCUCGACCAACUCCUCCCAAUUUUGGACGGAAUUAGGAGGGAGAUUGAUGUACCAGGCAAAUGCCGAGCCGGUCAAUGAAAAGUUGAACAGCCGUAACUUAUGGACAUCACUAUUAACAUCUCCGCAUUGCGCGAUGAAACGAGCCACGUGCUCCAACGAAGACAGGGACGAUUCACCGGCAAAAAGACUAAAAUCUGGGAUCUUGAAACCCUUCGGGUAUCCAAACGUUUCCACGUAAGCUGGGUACGGAUGAAUAAACUUGGGAAACUUCGGCCCUUUCUUCAUGGCCGAGUCGAUCAUCCGCUGAACUUCGGUCAUAUCAACAGGUGUUGCUUCGAUCCUCUGGUCGGUUCUGUCUGAUCUACUAUUCGACCCUCCUCCUUUUUCCAAGUUAAUUGGUUUGAGCGGAGCAGGAAUAGGCUCGGCCGGUACAAUCGGUACCGGGUUGUUUCCUGGUGGACAAUGUUGGAGAAGAUCGAAAGGCCUGCUGCCACCAACUUUACUAACCAGCAUUUCGAGUAGCCUGGUUUGUCGAUCAUUGGAACUGAGUAUCGCGUCAUGCAGCUUGUCAAUGCCUCGACUGAACGUCUGCUCGACUAACCGAGACUGCUCGUCUAGUCACUUUCGGAUAAACGACCUCGUUGGUGGGUCAGAUCCUUCACCACCAUCCUCGUCACACUCCUCUACUAUCCCUUCAUUGAGAACGCAUGUGUUUCUGUUAGGGAUUUCUAAACCACGGAGUUGACCGCCGAGAUUAACUUCUCUCUCUCGGCGAGUCGCGCUCGUGGACUCAGGUGUCGUAGUGCUAAAGGGAUUCUGCGCCUGUGGCACACUCUGUCCUAUGCUCUGACUCGACAAAUCGGCUGUCGACUUUCCCAUAACUGUUUUAUUUUUUACCGAUCGUGUUUCAAUUGGCAUGAACUUCGUAGUUUAGCACUGGGUCCCACUGGGCGUGCCAAAAUGUUGACCCUAGAAACUACAAAGCCUACGUGGCGCGCAGGCCGAGUAAUCUAUAAGCUAACUACGUCCUUCGGUGAAUGCGGGGCGUGCCAACUCGUCGGCCGAGGAGUAAAUUUGUUGAUGUUGCGUUGGGUCGCGCUACUGACUUCUGCGUCUUGCGAUUGCGGCCGAGAAAGGAACACGUCUCGGCCUCUUGGGCUCUCGAACCUGAAGACAAGGUUACUAUUCUUACGAAGUUCAAUAUCAAAUUCGGCUUUCAAUGUGCCGAAUGUAAUAACUGUAACACCUCACUUUGCCGAGAAGGUUGAUGAGAUGACCUCGACCAAUAAGGAUUUAGAAACCCUUCUCGACCGAGACUUGGAUAGGUAAUCAAUCGUUCUCGCCGCAGUGCUGUUGAUGCCAACGGAAGGUACUGCGAGACCGACUGACUCUACGGUGACAGAGCUAUCUAUGUCGACUUAAGAUAUCACCGGUUGCUUCCACAAUGCUGUUGAUGCCAACGGAAGAUGUGUCAGCGAAAAAGGAAAAAGAAAAAUCACAAGUUGUGAGAAUUUGCGCAGGGCAAUUUUGUAUUCAUUUGCAGGGCUUUGAAUGAUGUGCAACCUCUUCUAUUUAUAGCAAUGGCCCCCCCUAAGGUCGAGUUAAAAACCUACUCGGACUAGGUUUUCUUCCCCUGAUCAGCAUCAACUCGACCAGUCCUACCUUCACUAGGACUGUGAACUUAGUCCUUUAACUGAGCCGGAUUCGUUUCCGGGUUCUGCCGAUACUCCUUAUUGCACUAGGAUUCGACCUCUUGCGUUAUGACCUAGCCGACCUAGGUUUGGAGGCCCACGUACUGAACGAUCCAUGGUAUUCUUGUCGCAAGGCCUUCCGGGCCGAGAAUGACCCUACACUCGGCCCAAAACUGUUAUUUUGGGCCCAAACAACUUGCUAUGAGAAGACAGCUAGAGAAAACUCAUUUACGAUAAAUAAUAUGUAGUUUUGAUUAAAUUUUGUUGUAUGUUAAUGUAUUCACAUUUAUACUUUGUUUUUUAUUAUCAGGGAACUGAAAAGGUUCAAGCCAUAUUCUUUAACAGGUCCAACAUUCGAGAGCAAAACUUGAUUCGUGCAGACGUUAAAAAGAUGUAUAAUAUGAGAUUGCUCAAUGUUGAUAAUUCUAGCUUGUGCUUGGAAAACCUCUCUCUCUUCUCGAUUCUCUUCGUUAUCUUUCCUGGGAAGGAUAUCCUUUGAAAUCUUUGCCCC
rnacentral:lncRNA from 1 species